rnacentral:lncRNA from 1 species
UAUGUCCCCAACUAUCCACUUAUUGUUUGAUUUAUGUCUGUUUCGCUGCCCUUGCAUUGACCCUGAGGGAGGGCUGUGUGGGAAGUUGGUGUGUGAGAUUAUAGAGAGGGCUGAUGUAGAUGUGGGUUCUGCAGAGCGUCUGGAGCCGGAGUAUAUGCAGGGAGACUGAUAAAUAGCCAGGAGAAAUACAUCAAGCUUAAUAAGCCUAGUCCAGCUUGUAGUGGUGAGUCCAUCAGGAGAGAUCUGCGUUUCACCAUUUCUCUGUGCAGGUACUGUACUUCUUUACAAAGAUAUAUAUAUAUAUAUAUAUAUAUAUAUAAAUAUAUAUAAACACAUACAAGCCAUUGUUGCAAUAAUAAAUCAACAAGUAAAUAUUUUAUUAAAUACAAAUAAUCUUGUGUAUUUGUUAAGGUAGAAACUUUUGAAAAAUUAAUUUGGAAAUUGCUAACUUUGCCAACUUUUUCCGUCACUAUUUUCAGAAUGCACUUGUCUAUUACCUGCAUUUUUAAUGAUUACAGUAUUAUACAUGUUUUAAAAUACAGUAGCAUUUAAUAUUGCUUCUUUAAAAUAUAUUUUUAAUAUCAGUUAAUGUCAGAAUUAUAUUUAUUGUAUUAAUUAUGCUCUAAUAACAUGUGAUGAUGUACACGUUAUGGUAUGCUGUUGGUCUUCUAAAGUUGGAAUCUGUGAGUAGUACUUUUACCAAGGUAAUUCACUGAAGUGAGAAUUUAAAGUGAAUGUCAAAUUUAAUGCCAAAGUAGCUGAACUGGAAGCACGGAUUACUUAGAGAAUGUUCCAAUUUGAAAUUCACUUUGAAUUCUCACUUUAGUGAAUAACACUGUAUAGGUUUUAAGUUCACCAUAACUCAUUUGUUGUUCAUAACUUACAACCCAGACUUAAGUAAUUGAUCGCAGAGUUUAUAUAAAGGGAGUUUAUGAAGAAUACAUAUUCAGUGUUAAAAAUGCAAACAGUUAUUUGGAGUUCAAUAAGUAUAAGUUGUUUUAAUAAACUGUCCUGUUGUUAAUAGAGGUUUGUAUAUUCUAUUAGAGACCUCUUUUGGACUAUUAAAUUCCCCAGAACUCAUUGUCUAGUGAAUGAAUUAAUCAGAUUUCCAGUUUGGCUAUUUCGGCCUUAACUUAGAAAUUCACUUUGAAUUUAAGUUGAAGUCUCAGCAAUGCUCGCUUCAGUGAAUUAUGCUGUUCUGGUGACAAAUAAUGUAUAGUAAAUCACUUGACGAGUUAAGUAGAAACCAUGCUCAGUGAAGGUUCUGAGUUUUCUACUGGUGUAACUUAGUGUGGAAUUUAGAGGUAUUUUUUUUUAAUAGCAGAGAUGAGCCUCUUAGUCAGAAGAUUGUUACCAUUAACUAUAACAUUUGUCAAGAAGUACAUAAUUUGAAUAGUCAAUUUAAAUUCCAUGUUAAGCUACAUUACUGAUAAGCAUGCACAUCUAAAAAAUAUUGUAUGUAAGAGGUUGGAAAAAAUUCCACAGUAGUCAUAAUAUGGUUGGAGAAAUUAUCUUCCUUCUUGACAGUUCUAAGUAGUGUCUGCUUGUCUGUAAUGUAGCUCACCAUGUAGAACAUGAUCACAGAUUUUUUAUUGGUUUUUACCAAAAUAAUUUAAGGAGUGUAAUAAAAUCCUGUCCGCAGGAAAAAUAAACUUCAGUCUAUGACCUCGAUUUAAUAAGCUUUCCAAAUGACUCAAUAUUAACAUUUUACAAGUUAUUUUUCUAUCCAAAUUCCCAUAGACUUUAGUGGUGAAGUCUGUAGGUAAGUCAUUUGUAAAAUCAUACAAAUACGGAAAGCUUAUUAAAUCGAGGCCUUUAUUAGAGUAGCAUUCUACAAAAUGUAAGGAGUUUGGCAGAUAGUUUUGAUAUUCUUCUUAUAUGUUAUUGUGUGUAUGUUAUAUAUGUUGUUGGCUCUAUUAAAGUAAACAGCAAAUUGGAGGGAUCUGGCAUUGAACCUUCACACUUUAGGCCAAAAUAACUGUAAUGGAAACAACAUAAAUUAAACAGCAGUGGAGAUUCAUUUUUAAAAUAGCUACCUUGCUUAAAGGGACACUUCAAGCACCAUAACCUCAGAUGAGGUUAUGAUGCCAAUUGUAAUCUGGCUCCCGCCAAGGUACGUGAUCAAACAAUUUAAGAACAGUUUGACAACUUACCUGCGGUCUGCUGGGUACUGGGCGCCUUCUCCUCUGGCGAAGGAAGGUUCAGGCGUAUAGAGCUAGCUAAUUGGCUAAACGAGUCAGCUGAGCGUUACAGUCAAUAAGCACCAUCCUGCAAAGCUUGGCUUAAGCUCAGUGCAGGAAGCUUUAAGCUAGUGAGGAGGUGGCAAUGGCUGCCCAGUGGCCCCCAAGUAAGUAGUAACAUCAGUUUUACUCCUUACUUUGUGAGGGAUCCAGGGUACUCCUAACUUUAUAACUAUUACAGGGCACAAGGGAGGUUAUGCUGCAUAACUCCAUAACUACUACAGAGCGCUAGAGUGGUUAUGGUGCUUGUAGUGUUCCUUAAAUGAUCUGUGUGGGCACCAUAACAACGUAAUUGAAAGUUGUUAUGGUGCCCAAAAGGUCCCUUCUUACCCAAAAGAGUUAAACCAUUCACAACUGGUUUAACUUCAAAUGUUGCUCUCCAGCUCCGGAUCUCACUGUUCCCAGUGGCAUCCCAUUUAUAAAAUUCAAUUUGUGGAAGCAUGAAGUGCUGCUGGAAAGGGUCACUUCUGAUUCUCUAAUCCAAUCAGUAGCCCCCCAUUAACAGAAAUUUAACUUUUUUUGUUUCAGUAUCCCAACUAGUAUGUGUAUUCAUUACAAAAUAAUUAUACAUUUUUAAAUUUCAGAGAGGAGUGCCAAUGGACAAAUCCACCAUGGGUGCCAAGUACCCUAGGUAUGAUUCUGGUACCAUGCCUCAGAAGAUAAAUGUUAUAGUGAACAUAGACUGUUGCCAAAAAAAACAUAACUUUGAACAGAUCAGCAUACAAACUUGGUCAUUUAAGGGAUGCUCUAAGCACCAUAACCCCUACAUGAUUUGCAGUGGAUAUUGUGGAAGGAGUCAUUAUAUACAGUUUCUCCAAUUUUUGUAAACCCAUUUUGGAGCAGUUUCACACAAACCAGGGCUACCUCACCACCCCUCUCUGCUUCCACUGAGAUAUUGCAGAAUUUUUAUAAAUCAAUCAUACAAUUUGACAAAUAUUCUUGGUCCAUAACUGUGGCGGAGCUCCCUGUACCCAGGCUGGGUACAUCUGCCCAUGCUUCCUAUCUGGGGGAAAACCGGGGAAAACUGUCGCUCUUCUGCCCCAGUCACCAUGGUUUGACUGGGGUCAUUCUGGAGCUUUUCCACCCGACCAGGCUGCAGCUCUCCUUCCAGGCAGGUAUAGCCCCUCUGCCUAUUCUGCUGCAACCCUUGUUCCAGGCAGGUAUCGUCCCCUCUGCCUAUUCCACUGCAGCCCUUCUUCCAGGCAGGUAUCCAUCUCUGCCUGCAAUGUGAUUGCUAUUGCCUUUACAAAGACACUUGCAGCUCUCAGGCCUAGCUCUCUUGAUUUAUCCCACGGCUAGAGGGAUCAUGCAGCCAGCUUACAGGUACGACAACUCUGGGAUUUCUAAAAAUCCACACAGGACACCGUUCCAAAAGGAAUUAACAAUACUUUAUGUUACUUGGGACUAGCCCAUACGUUCAUUGCAUAUACAUUGCUGUGACAAACAUAAUAAAAUUCAAAUAACCAAAACAUGUCACAACAUAUACAGGAAAUUAUAAUAGCAUAAGAACAUAUUUAUAAAGGGAUGGGGAAGACAUUAAUUAACAGAACAUAUCUCUCCUGCGUGCAGAAUUAGCAAUAUGUAUAUAUACCCAAAUAUGCAAAUUAGCGAUCAUUGCUAUUCAGGUAGUGCAUAUACCGGUUGCUAGAUCCUUGCCACCAACUGGUGACGCUGUACAGGCUCCACAGCCACAUCCACCUAGUUGAUUGCAAGCAUUAUCAAGACAGGAGAGCACACUAAUAUUUAGAAUAUUCUUUUUUUUUUUCUUCCUUAUAAAUCUUUAUUUGAUUUUACACAAAAAUAAAUUACAGGUAUCUCAUACCGCUUUAAAACAACAAUAAAUAUCUAACAUACAAUCUAGACAAUUACUUCUAAGCAUACACCAUUCAUACACAUACAAAGUGGGAUAAGGACACAGCAUACAUAGGAAACAAUAUAUGUCUCUUAUUUUUUUAAACAGGUCAAUACACUGAAGUGACUUAGUGAAAUACUCCUAGGUUUCUACUAUCUUCUAUAAUUUGUAUACAUUUUAUUCCCAUCUCAUAUUUCUUUACAUUUUCUUUCCCCCUAUAUAAACCUAUCUCAUUCUUAAUCUGGGACAGAAACAGUUUUUCCCAGUGCUUACAAUCAAUAACCUUACAGUUUUUCCAGCCUCUUGCUAUCAGAAUCUUCACUGCCAUGAAUGAAUAUAUAGUUAAAAAUUGUUGAUAUAAUGACAUUUCAGGCCAGUGGAGAUGUAGAAGCACAGAGGUUGGAGAUUUUUCUAUCCAUAUUUUAUCCCAAACAUAUAGUCUUCUGAAAACAUCAUCCCAUAAUUUCUUAAUUAAUUUACAACUCCACCAAAUAUGGAUAAAACUUCCGAUUUCACUCCCACAUCUCCAACAAAUGUCCGACUCCUUAUGAUCAAUUCUAUUUAGUCUAAUUGGCACACUAAUAUUUAACCUCAAACAACCAGAUUACACCCUGCACCUGCAAUGGACACAGGGUGACUUAAACAUAGGAAAAGUCCAGGGUCCUACAUAAAAUGUUCUUAUGAAACCCCAGGUGAUGGUGACUUCAACCAAAACAGCUCUUUGUCAAUCUUUCAGAUGAAUCAAAUCUUUAGAGCAGACUACUGGAGCCAUCUAUAGUAAAGCGGGGGGGGAAGGCUGAAAGGGCUGCACUAGCCCAAAGAAGGAGCUCUGUCCCAUCAUGGGCCAAAGGCAAUACUAGAUGUUGUGGGGAAGGUAGCCAGACAGUCUUCGUCUCUUUUUUGUGAGCUCUGAUAUAAUCAGAGUGUUGCCAUGGUAACCCGCAGCAACACUCUGGAUCACAGAAGCUUGCAAGAGGCAUGGUCUAUACCCUGCUGAGGUACAGACCAAAUAACCAGCUCACUGGUCCACCAGGAAUCAGUAUGCCCCCUCUCUUCCUGCAAGGUAAUAAUAAGGAGGGGGAGUAAAUGUUUGUCUGGUUUAUUUAUUUAUAAUUAAAUUAAUUAAUUAAGCCUCAUCCUACUCCCUAUACACACACUACACCCCCUGCACUCACACACAUGCUAUUCUCCCACCCUGUGCACUCACACACGUAUUAUACAUACUACGUACACUCUAUAUCCCCUAUAAACCCCCCACACACACACUCUAUACCCCAUAUAAAUACACACAUUACACCCCCUAUACUCACACACACACUUCUCCAUAUCAAUAUACCCCUAUACACACACAACCCUUAAGCACAGUAUACCCUUAUAAACACACUACAACUUCUGGAUACACACACUAUAUCCCUAUAGAAACACUACACCGCUAUGCACACACACACACACUAUACCCCUACACAUACACAUUAUCGUAUCUAUACACACGACACAUAGACACUCUUCAGCUGCUAUAUAUAUAUAUAUAUAUAUAUAUAUAUAUAUACACAAGGCAAAUCCCUGCAGCCCCAUGCACAUACACACAGUACAGCCCAUACAUGCACACACAAGACCCCCUAGACACAUACACUCUACAAGUUUUAUAAACAUGCACACACUUUAUAGUCCAAAAACACACAGCCAUUAGCCUCAAACAGUAUGCCACAAACAGAGCCCUUUACACACACUCUAAAACACAAAUAGUCUCCUCUACACACAUACUAUCCCACAAGCAACUUCCAAACACAUACAGCACCACACACGCACAGCACACUUUAAUAGUCCUGUCCCACUUUUACCCCUAGUAUAAGCAAUAGAAAAAAGACUUUUUCUCCAUCUGCAAGCAUUUGUCAGGUUACCUUGUGGAUCAGUCAGGGGCAUGUCACAGGCUGGCAUCACAUUGCAGCAGGGGAGGGCUGGCAGCAUUAGGCCUGGGGGGCAAAACCAGUCAAGUGGCCCAUUGCACCACCAAAUCAGUUCACCAUUCAUGCCCACCUUUUCCUGGUUUUAUAACGGAUAUUGAUGUUAUGCUAAUCAGUAGCUCUUUGCCAUACCCGCUCCUUCACGGCUCCAGGCACUGCUUGUUGUGAGUGUGAGCCACUGUAAAUUAGGGGCAGAGGGCACUUGCACUGCGGUAAAGAUGGGGCUGGGCAGGAGGAGAGUGCAGUGCAAUCAGUGCACUCCCCUCCUGUGGGUCACCAGUAGACUGGUGCACCUGCCCAGGAUCAGAGCCGGUGCAAGGAUUUUUGCCGCCCUAGACAAAAUAAAAAUUUGCUGCCCCCCCAUGUGACAUCACAAUGCCCCACCCAUAUGAACUAACGCCAGUGCUGCACACAGUGUGUGUUUACAUUAAAAAGCCUGCAGGGACCAGCUAUAGACACCAGAACCACUUCAUUAAGCUAUAGUGUCCCUUUAAUGUAAGGUACAUUAUAGAUUAGUGUCACUAAUAAUAUACUAGAUUGCCUACUUACAAGCAGAUGAGGAUGAUGAUGGGCUGCAGUUUGGCUCCACUGGUCUGGUGUAGAACAGGAUCUCUGGAGGCUGUUUGCAACUGUGGUCACAAAAUUCAAUGUUCUGGGAGAAUUGGAAGCAGCUCCAUUUUUUGGGGCCCCUUACACAGCUCAAGGUCUGGGCCCCAGGGCCUGACGGUGAGUAUGCCCAUAAGGCCCACUCUCAUAAGUUCCACCCACCCAUGAGUUCGCUCACAGGGAGUGGAGUGUGUAGGGGAUGUGUUAUGUUAUUGUAGAGGAUCUAAUAUGUGUGCUUAUGGUAUGUAGUGUAUAGGGAUACCAGUUUGUGCAGGUGAUGCAGUGUGUUUGUGUGUAGUGGAAGCAGUGUGUAUUUGUGUAUAAGGGAUGUAUUAUGUGUUUCUGGUUGUGUGUAAGGGAUGCAUUGUGUGAAUCUGUGUUUGUAUGCAUAAGGGAUGCAAGGUGUGUGUCUGUAUGUGUGUGCAUUGAGUGUAAGAGAUGCAUUGUGUUUCUGUGUGUAUGUAAGAAAAGAAGUGUGUGUGUUUGCAUGUGUGUGUACGGGUUUGCAUUGUCUGUUUCUGUGUAUGUGUGCAAAGGAUGCAUUGUCUUUGUGUGUAAGGGUUGCAUGUGUGUGUGUGUGUAAUGGAUGCAUUGUGUGUUUCUCUGUGUGUAAGGGAAGCAUGUUGUGUUUCUGUGUAUGUAUAGGGAUGCAUUGUGUGUGUGUGUGUGUGUGUGCGCGCGCGUAGUGUGAAAGAGCUCCCUGUCUUGGCCCCUGUCCUAUAGAGCUGCCCCUUCUGUCCCGUAGAGCUCUCCCCUGCACCUUAGUGGUCUCUCCUCUCCCCCACCCUCCCCUAGCGGUCUCUUCUCACACUCACCCACCCUCCCUGUGCUCUUCUCAUCCCCCCCUCCACCCUCCCUGUGUUCUUCUCACUCCUCCCUCUAUGUGUUCUCCUCACACCCCCUGUGUUCGUCUUACCCCCCUCCUCCCUGUGUUCUUCAUACUUCCCCCCUUGGUCGUCUUACUCCCCCACCUGUUCUUCUUACUCCCCCACCUGUUCUUCUUACCCCCCUUCUUCUUAUUGCUCCCCCUUCUUCUUCUUACUCCCCCCUCUUCUUCUUACUCCCCCUUCUUCUUACCCCCCCUCUUCUUACUCCCCACUCUUCUUCUUCUUACUCCCCACUCUUUUUCUUACUCACCCCUUCUUCUUCUUCUUACCCCCCUCUUUCUUAUCUCCCCUCCUUCUUACUCCGCCCUCCCCUCCUUCUUACUCCGCCCUCCCCCUUUUCUUAUUCCCCCUCUCCCUCUUCUUACUCCCCCCUCUUUUUCUUACUCCCUCCUCUUCUUCUUCUUACUCCCCAUCUUUUUCUUACUCACCCCUUCUUCUUCUUACCCCCUUUUUCUUAUCUCCCCUCUUCUUAUCUCCCCUCCCUCCCCUCUUCUUAUUCCCCCCCUCCCCUCUUCUUAUUCCCCCUCCCCUCUUCUUAUUCCCCUCCCCUCUUCUUACCCUCCCCCUUUUCUUAUUCCCCCUCUUUUUCUUACUCCCUCCUCUUCUUACUCCAUCUUUUUCUUACUAACCCCUUCUUCUUCUUACCCCCCUCCCCUCUUUUUAUUCCCCUCCUCCCCUCUUUUUAUUCCCCCUUCCCUUUUUUAUUCCCCCCUUCCCUCUUUUUAUUCCCCCCUUCCCUCUUCUUAUUCCCCUCUUUUUAUUCCCCCCUUCCCUCUUUUUAUUCCCCCCCUCUUCUUAUCUUUUGCAUUCCCCCUCCCUCUAUUCCUCCCUCUUCUUACCCCCCUCCUCCCCUCUCUUCUUACCCCCUCCCUGUAGGCGUGGAAGGCUGCCUCCCGAUCACAUGCGGUGGCGUGACUGGAGGUGAUGGGAAGGUGCGCACUGAGGUGUGCUUCCUGUCAGUCGACGGUGACAGCAGAAAAACAGAAACUCCUGUUCGCUGGCGGAACAGGAGUUUCUGUUUCAUGCCGGUGGGACUGACCCGGGAGGUGCACACUGAGGCGUGCACCUUCUAUCGCAACCCGACCCGGCCACCGCGGACCGGAGUGCAGCUCGGCCACGCUACAGGGGAGAAGCUGCAGUCGCCUGAGCGCUCUUAACAGAGCGCUCGGGCGGCUGCAGUAUUUAAAGGGCCGGCCCGCUGCGGCCGGCCUUACAGGAAUUUAGGGCGGCCUGGGGACACUCCUACCAACUCUCAGCUUGUCCCCAGCGAUUCUCAAGCCAGUCGCGAUAACCCUGCCUCCUUUUACGAUGCUGCUAAUGAGCGCCAAUGUCAUGAUGCCAAGGACGCAACGGCCUGCCAAGGUGUUUGAACGAGAACAUUUGGGGUUGCGGUUACCUACCUAAUUGAACGCGGUAUUUAAACCGUGGUUGUUGUUUGUCCCAAGAGCGCGUAUUCCGUAUUGGUAUUCUUGUAUUCUGACUUUGGCUUUGUUUGACUAUUCUUCCUUCUGUGUUCCUUUGACCUCGGCUAUUGCAUUAUCUUUGAUCCUGAUUUCUGGUACUCCUGACCUCGGCUCACUAUUUGACUAUUCUUUGUGUGUGUAGUCUUAGUCCAGCCAUCCUAAGGUCUGGUAUACAUUACUAAUAUUUGCAUUCUGCGUGUAGGAUCCCCAAACGUUCCAGACAGCGUGCUUGUCAUUGGUGAUGACAUGACAUGCCUCCUUUCUGGCCCUAUGCAAGAGUAUGUUGAGGUUCUCACCUUGUACAUUUUUGUGAACUGGAACACUAGACAAAUAGCCAUAGACGGCUAGAAACAGGUUUUCCAUAUUUCUAUUUGGUAGGUAUGCAAUAUAUUUGGGAAGGCUAAUACAUUUUCUUUCAUUUACGGUUUCCUUGAACUUUCAGGUUUUAAGGUUGUAUCAAAAAUGAUCACAAUUUAAAUAACACUCCUAUUAUAAUUGCCACUCCAAAAUUACAUUUUAGGUACUAAUUACAAUUGAUAAUUAUGAGUGCCAAAAAAUAGCAACAUCAUAGCCAUAGCUCCUCACCCAAGGUUUUUAGUCUGUUUCAAAGACUUUAUCAAGACUAAAGCAAUUUUUUAUUUUGUUAGUGGCUCGUAUAUUAUGAGUGGGAGCCUUAUUUAAAUUGUUACACCACUUUUAUUCUUUGUCAGCAAGGUACAGUAUAUAACAAGCCAAUUGCAUAUAUCUAUAAAUCUCACUGAUUUGUGUGGUUUUGUCAUACAGAUUAAAAUUUUACUUUUUCCCAGUUUUGAAGCUAAGCACGUCAACUAUAUGCUUAAUAAAUAACAGUAAAGGAAGUAAUUAAUAGGGUCUAUAAGUAUAAACAAGUUUUGGGGAUUAUUUUUCUCUGGUCUCAUAAAUAUUAAGGAAAAAUAUCUUUCCCACUAUAGUUAUAAACAAUCUGAUUAAGUUGUCAAGUAAAUGUUUAUUUCUGUUAAUAAGUGAUUGUAUAUUUCAGCUUAUAAUUUUGCAUUUACAUAGUUUACAUACAUGUAAUGUAAAUUUGUCAGUAGAAUUUUUUUUCUGUGUGUACAAAUAUAUUCAAUAUGUAUCUAAAAUUAAUUAAAUAUUAUAUAGAUAAAUAACAGUUGAUAUGCGCAAACUGUUUACUGUAGUGAGGCAGUUAGCUGUUGUAAGUACGUUUGUAUUUUAAGUACCGUAUAUACUCGUGUAUAAGUCGAGUGCAGUUUUGUGACCAACAAUUGUGAAAUAUGUUAUGCCUCGUGGAUAAGUCGAGGGUAAAACUUGGGGCUAUGAAAUUCUGUGAUUUUUAUAAUUAUAUACACACACACUCAUACAAACACACACACUGCAUUAUAUACACACACACAUAUACAAACACACACUCUGCAUUAUAUAACAAGAAAAAGGAAACUCAAAAGGCUGGAAAGUGGGAGUGGAGGAAAAGACACUCCCGUAUCCCACUGCUGAGCCUCCAGAGUAUAGAGGUCACCUGGACUGGUAAAAGGGGGUAACCCUGGAAAUUGUAGAAAAAAGGAAGAAAAAACCCCAAAAAGGGAUGUCUUAUAUAAAGACCGCCCAGAGGGUAAAUACCCAGUCCAAUCUCAACAGUAGUGUAGUUGCCAACUACACUACUGUUGAGAUUGGACUGGGUAUUUACCCUCUGGGCGGUCUUUAUAUAAGACAUCCCUUUUUGGGUUUUUUUCUUCCUUUUUACACUCUGCAUUAUACACACACACACUCAUACACACACUCUGCAUUAUACACACACACACACACACACACUCAUAUACACACUCUGCAUUAUACACACACACACACUCAUACACACACUAUGCAUUACACACACACACACACACACACACACACACACUCAUACACACUGCAUAUAUAAUUGAGUGUGUGUUUGUAUGAGUGUGUAUAUAAUGCAGUGUAUGUGUAUAUAAUGAAGUGUGUGUGUGUGUGUACAAUGCAGAGGGUGUGUUUGUAUGAGUGUGUGUUUGUGUGUGAACUGGGUGGGGGAGGGCACUUUUAUUAUUUUUAAUUUUAAUAUUUUAAUUUUUUUAUUUUAGUAUUAUUUUUUAUUUUAUUAUUUACUUUUUUCAUUUUAAUAUUUACAUUUUUUUAUUGUAAUAUUAUUAUUUUUUUUAUUAUUUAAUUUUUAUUUUCGUCCCUCCUCCCUGCUUGUUAGCUGGCCAGGGAGGGGGGCUCUCAUUCCCUGGUGGUCCAGUGGAUGGGCUGUGUAGGAGGGGGGCUGGCAGAGAGCUGUUACCUUUCCUGCAGCUCCUGUCAGCUCCCUUCUCCUCUGGUCCGGUCAGCUCCACUGUAAGUCUCGCGAGAGCCGCGGGGUCAGAGCGUUGCCACAGGUUACCGUGGCAACGCUCCGCGCGGCAGUCACACCGCAAGACUUACAGUGGAGGAGAAGGGAGCUGACAGGAGCAGCAAGAAGGUAAGUAACAGCUAUCUGCCAGCCCCCAACAGGACCGCCGGGCUUGUAAUGAGCCCGGCGGUCCUGGUCUGUAUUAUGGCAAUGUAAGUUGCCAUAAUACAGACACUGACUCGAGUAUAAGUCGAGUGGGGGUUUUUCAGCACAAAUAAUGUGCUGAAAAACUAGACUUAUACUUGAGUAUAUAUGGUAUGUUGUUUUUAGGACUCUUUCUUUAAGAAUUUGGCCGCAGGACUCAAACAGGGAGUCAUCAGGUAGUCUAAAUUUGCAUAAAAUGCCAAGGUACUGGCAAGUGUUUCUGAAGUAAUGGUACUGCUUUAAAUUGCAAGUAAUUAACCAGUUAUAGAUCAUAUUACAUUGAUAUGCAAGUUUGAAUUGGAUGCUGCUACUUGGGACUUUUGCUACAGUUAUGUUUUUAACAUUUUGAGUGGGUAUACAUAACAUUGUAGUGUGUGCUAUUAGAAAAUAAUGCCCUCAAGGAGUGCAGAUACAUCAUAUUAUUUCUUGAUACAUCUCAGUGGCUUAUGAAUAUCUACACAACAAAGAUAUGGAAAUAUUUAUCCUUUUAAGGGUUAUAGCUCAGGUUUGUUUUGUUGUCAAUCUUUGGGCAAUAUGAGGCAGUGGCGUCUCUAGGAUUCAUUUUUAGGGGGGCACAUGGAGGGCCAGGGACAAAAGUAGGGGGGCACAUUUAACCCCGCCCUCGCUGCAGUUUGACCCCGCCCCUGUCGCAUGUUAAGCCCCGCCCCCCACACAAUGUGUUGUUUUUUUUUUUAAUAAUACCUUUGGAGGAUUCAUUAUUUUCCACCAGGGAUUAUUAAAAAAACAAACACAUUACCCUUGAUACAGUGCCAUAGUUGCCAACAUUUAAAAAAAAAAUUUCCAAGGACAUUUUGCAGCACAGCUAUCAAUUACUGUUUUGGUAUAAUAUCCCUGGACAGUCAGUGCUCUCUGUAUAAUACAGGGUUGUGUGUAUAAUAAAUUGGGACACUCAGUGCUCCCUGAAUAGCACUGCUCUCUGUAUAAUACAGGUCUGUUUGUGUAUAAUAUCCCAAGACAGAGAGCAGCACUAUACAGGGAGCACUGACUGUCCCGGGAUAUUAUACAGGCACAGGCCUGUAUUAUACAGAGAGCAGCACUAUACAGGAAGCACUGACUAUCCCGGGAUAUUAUAUACACACAGAUCUGUAUUAUACAGAUAACUGAGCAUAUACCCCAUGUCCCAAUCUCUAGACUACUAGUACCUGUCAACAGCAGCUCCCAGAUGCAUGUAACAGGGCUAAAGUGUGCGGCAGCUCACACAGAUGAUUCAGCGGUAAAGUGCACUCGCUGGCAGAGCCAAACUGGGAAUCCCUGGGAAUCCAAAGCAGCCCUGGAAAAAAAAUGUAUGCCAUUCCUACAAGUAAAAAAAUAAAUAAAUAUAUAUAUAUAUACAUAUAUAUAUAUAUAUAUAUAUAUAUAUUACAGUAAGCACACAAGCUCACUGACAUGCGCAAAUAGGCUUACUGACAGACAAAACUCUCUGACUCACACACAAGCUUACUACAGACAAACUCACUACUAGAAGGCUCACUACAAAGAAGUUCAGGGACACACACAAGCUCACUAACACACACAAGCAGUACCAUUUUAACAGAGUUAAGGGCCCCUGGGCAAAGCAAUGCACUGGGGCCCUUCCUACACAACAACUCACAGGAAUUUUAAUUAUUGAUAGACUGCUGAGUCCAUACACACACACACAGACCUGAGUCCACACACCACACACACACACACACACAGACUGCUGAGUCCAUACACACACACACACACACACACACACACACACACACACAGACUGCUGAGUCCAUACACACACAGAGACUGCUGAGUCCAUACACACACACACACACACACACAGUCUGCUGAGUCCAUACAUACACAGACACACACACACACACAGACUGCUGAGUCCAUACACACACUGACUGCUGAGUCCAUACACACACACACACACAGACUGCUGAGUCCAUACACACACUGCUAUGUCCACACACACACACACACACACAGACUGCUGAGUCCAUACACACUCACAGACUGCUGAGUAAAGACACACACACAGACUGCUGAGUCCAUAAACACACACUCAGACUGCUGAGCAGUGGCUGAUCCAGAGCCUGAUCUCGGGAGGGGCACUUGUUGAUUAUUUAAAUAAAUAAUCCAGACACAAUAACCACUACAGCUCCAUGUAGUGGUUAUGGUGUCAAUAGUGCCGGGACCCCCUCCCAGAGUAAGUAGUCAAACCAUUUAAGAACAGUUUGACAACUUACCUGAGUUCUGCUGGGAAAUGGCCCGUAGUAGGGCAUAUGAGCAGUGGUGUGUGUGAGUGGUGCAAUGUGUAAGGGGUGCAGUGUGUGAGCAGUGUGUGUGUUUGAAGGUUGUAGUGUGUGAGUGAGUGCGGCAGUGUAUGUCAGGGAUGCAGUGUAGGUGUGGGACAGUAUGUGUGUGUAACAGUUGCAGUGUGUGUGUGAGUGUGGGCAAUGUGUGUGUAUGGGGUGGAAGUGUUUGGGGAGCAGUGUGUGUGUAUGGGGAUAGUGUAUGUAUGUAGAGUGUGUGUGUAUGCGGGAGCAGUAUGUAUGUAUGGGGGAGCAGUGUGUGUGUAUGGGGGAGCAGUGUGUGUGUAUAGGGGAGCAGUGUGUGUGUAUGGGGGGGGUCAGUGUGUGUGUAUGGGUGCAGUGUGUGUGUGUGUAUGGGGAGCAGUGUGUGUGUUUGGGGGGCAAUGUGUGUGUAUAGGGGGGCAGAGUGUGUGUGUAUGGGGGGAGCGAGGUGUGUGUGUGUAUGGGGGCAGUGUGUGUGUGUGUGUGUAUGGGGGCAGUGUGUGUGUAUAGGGAGCAGUAUAUGUGUGUAUGGGGGGCAGUAUUUGUGUAUGGGGCAAUAUGUGUGUAUGGGGUGCAGUAUGUGUGCAUGGGGGGCAGUGUGUGUGUGUAACAGUUGCAGUGUGUGUGUGAGUGUGGGCAAUGUAUGUGUAUCGGACGGCAGUGUAUGGGGGCAUUGUGUGUGUAUGGGGAGCAGUGUAUGUGUAUGGGGAGCAGUAUGUGUGUGUAUGGGGGGCAGUAUGUGUGUACGGGGGGCAGUAUGUGUGUAUGGGGGGCAGUGUGUGUGUAUAGGGGGCAGUAUAGGGGACAGUGUGGGGAGCAAUGUGUGUGUGUAUAGGGGCAGUAUGGGGGGCAGUGUGGGGGCAAUGUGUGUGUAUAUAGGGGGGCAAUGUGUGUGUAUGGGGGGCAGUGUAGAAGGGGGCAAUGUGUGUGUGUAUGGGGGCAGGGGUGUAUUAUAGGGGCAGUGUGGGGCAAUGUGUGUGUGUAUAUGGGGGGCAGUAUAGGGGGGCAAUGUGUGUGUAUGGGGGGCAAUGUGGGGGCAAUGUGUGUGUAUGGGGGGCAGUGCGGUGGGGGCGGGGCUUAUGUGCGGGAGGCGGGGCUUUGUUUGGGGGCGGGGCCUGUGCCGGGGAGCCAAUCAGUGCUCCCUCCAGCCACAGACAGCCCCCAGCACUGCAUUCCCUCGGGCUGUAACAGAUUGUUACAGUCCGAGGGAAGAACAUGGCCAGCAAGUUGCCGGCAUUUGGGGGGGCUCAGCAUGAUGUAGGGGGGGCCAUGGCCCCCUCUGGCCCCCCCCUAGCGACGCCACUGAUGAGGGCAUUCAUGACCCGGUUUGCCAAAGAUUGGUAAGAGCCAUACUCACAGGCAGCAGCUGCUAUAUGUGUCUUUGUCUUUUAUUCAGCCCAUCUCCUGAUAAGUCAGGAGAGGACAUUGGUAGACAAAAUUGCACUGUUGAUAAACUUGCACAAUUGCAAAUCUGUUGCUGUGGAAAAGUGCAAACCCUGCUAAGCUUGCGCAGGCCAAGACAGAUAUGUGCUGCUCUUAGAUUAGGAACCCCACACUACAAUACUGGUCACAUUAUGCAUUACAUUUUUUAACGUAGAGUGUAGUGUUGUCUAUCACACUGCGUGAUAUACCAAAACAUAUUUUUUUUUAUUUUAGAAGACUAAAGGGAGCAUAUACUUUCUCAUGACAAAUAGUAAGCUACCAAGAUAUAUGAAUAGGAAAAAACUUAGCUGUCUCGGCUAUUUUGUUCAAAAAUAUGUCUGCUUCCCACAAUUCUGCCUUCAGUGAACAAGCCCCAGUGACUGAGAUAAUAUAUGUCUAUAAUAAACUAAAAAUAGACACUUUAGUAAAGGCUCUCUUCAAUAUAGGGUCAGAUUUACAUCUUCAGAGCCUGUAGAUAGAGAUCUGUAGCCCAAACAAUCUUUCUCGAUCCUCUGUAACUCAGAUAGGUCAGAAAGUUAAAACAUGGCUAUAUUGCAGGCAACCUUGUAAGGGGACAGGCUAGAAGAAUCAUCAAGUUCUGUUAUAUUAUGACACUGCUUUGGUUUAUAGUUUUAUAUUUUAAUGUAUUAUUGCUUUAAAUAAUUUAAUGCAAAUUUCCUGCACAUAACUUAGUCCAUCUAUAAUUUGACCAUCACACAUGAUAAAAUGAUGCCACAUAUAACAACAUCGACUACAAAGUCAGAGAUAUUUUUAACUUAAAGGACCACUAUAGACACCCAGACCACUUCAGCUUAAUGAAGUGGUCUGGGUGCCUGGUCCAGCUAGGAUUAACCCUUUUUUCUGUAAACAUAGCAGUUUCAGAGAAACUGCUAUGUUUACCUAUGGGUUAAUCCAGCCUCUAGUGGCUGUCUCAUUGACAGCCACUAGAGGGCUUUCGCGCUUCUCACUGUGAAAAUUACAGUGAGAAAACGCCAGCGUCCAUAGGAAAGCAUUGUGAAUGCUUUCCUAUGGACUGGCUGAAUGCACGCGCGGCUCUCGACGCGCAUGCGCAUUCAGUCGGUGAAGGAAGAAAAAGGAGGAGAGGAGGAGGAGAGCUCCCUGCCCGGCGCUGGAGAAAAAGGUAAGUUUAACCCCUUCCUUCCCCUAGAGCCCGGCGGCACCCUCAGGGGACUGUAGUGCCAGGAAAAAGAGUAUAUUUUCCUGGCACUAUAGUGGUCCUUUAAAAAAUUCAAUUUACUAGUGUCCAAACCAUGCUAGACUUUGUACUUAGCUUCCAUGACUGAUUAGUCAGAUAAUGAUACUGUGAUUCACUAACUUGCCUGUGUUUCAAACAAAUAUUUGCAGUGAAAGAUUACAGAAAACUGCAAAAAUAAUCCCAUCACUUUUGCACUGCCUCCACAAACUCCCUCUCUACAUUUUGGUAAGUACAGAAUGUAAAUACAACACAGUACAAAGUGCUGACUGAUGUGCUCUCUCCAGCAAGACCAUAGUAUACUAGUUGAAUUUCAUGGUAAUUUUCAAGUAAUGUGAAUGGUCCUCGAAUUUUCUCUGGAACUCUUAAAGGGGAACUGUCACUUCUCAGGAUUUAUAUUAUGUAUACUUACCCCUAUAAUUAACAACUGUUCCCGAAUUAGUAAUAGGAAAACUGUUGGCCUUUUCAGGCUCACUUGGUUAGGAGCAUUGACAUAUGAUGGCCAUAUGUAGGAAACCUCUCAUUCUUUAAAGGAACACUAUAGCGUUAGGAAUUCAAAUAUGUAUUUCUAAUUGACUAGGGCCCCUUCCCGGGCAAAUAAAUGGUUAAUUAACCAUUUAUUUGCUUACCUUAAUCCAGCGCCAGGCUCCCUCGGCACAGGUGACCUCUCCUCCUCCGUCAAUGUCAGCUCCCAAGUGGAGCUGAAUGCGCAUGCGCAGCCAGAGGCGCGCACACAUUCAAACCCGCCCAUAGGAAAGCAUUACUCAAUGCUUUCCUAUGGAAAUCUAUUUUGACACUGGAGGUCCGUGAGGACAUCCAGCGUCAAAUAAGUGCGAUUUACUCGGUGUAAAUAGCGGAAGCGCCUCUAGUGGCUGUCAGGGAGACAUUGAGCUGAAGUGGUGUGGGUGCAUAUAGUGGUCCUUUAAGGCUCAGCUACUUUAUAUUCAGUAUUGUGCCCAAUAUGGCUUCACAUAAGAAGGAAAUUAUUUGUUUUAUUGUGCUUUCCUUUAUAUUAGAGCCCAAUGUGGCAUCUGGGGAUAGGUUUUCUUUUUUUCUAUGUCAGACUGUGCUAAAAGUGUGCCCUUGAAAAUAUUUGUAUAUCACACUUUUGUCCUAAGUUACUUGGGCAGUUUUUUUUUUGGGGUAAAAUGUCUUUAGAAAUCAUUUUAUUUAAAAACAUUUAAGAAAAAUUAAAAACCAUACAAUAUUAUUCUGCUUCUAAGUACUACAAUCUGUCUACUAUCUGUAGUAUCUGUAGAUAUCAAAGUAUAUAUUAAAAAAAUGCUUCUGCUCCAAAAAUACAAAUAUUUAUAUAAUUGCUUCAAUACUCCAAAAAACAUGUGUAUUUAACUUGCUCACUAAGAGCUGAGAACAAAACAGCAUACUAUGUACUGAGGUAGUGAAAGCUGUAUUUUUCCAUGUUAGAGAAGUGUUCUUUUUACUCUGAGUCUGAGCCAAAAAUGUCAACAAUUAAACCAGAUAUAAGAACAAUUUGCCAAAAAAACAACACAUUACACUCUGCUCAUUAAAAGACUUAUUGUACGGCACAAAAGUUUUUUUGGGUGGCGGGGGGAGGGAGGGGGAUCCACGAUACUGGUACACUAUGUGAAAGGGUCCACAGGAAAAAACUAAUUGGGAUCCCCUGGCUCCUCUUAUGGCAAGUUUUUGCCUGUCAUCAAUAAUAUAUAUAUAUAUAUAUAUAUAUAUAUUUUAUAUCUGCUGCAUAAGAAAAUAGCAGUUUAUUUGUUCAACACUGUAGGCUAGUGAUAGACACAUCAGAUGCACUUACAGCCAUUGUGCUGGCAAAAAAAAACCAUCAUGGGAAAUGUCUUCCACAGCAUCUGGAGUAAAGGAGGUUGUCUACUUCUGCAGUGUGGGCAAUAAUCUAAAUAUUGUGGGCUCCAACUCCCACAACAGUGAACAGACCAACUCGCUCACAUGGUUAAAGAAAUAUUACAUAUUUCAUGUUGGCGGGGGAUAGCCUUCCAUAUGAAAGUUUUAGGCAAAAAUAAUUCAAGAUAAUAGAACUAAUAUAAAAAACAUUUUAGCAUACCUGAUAUAACAAAUAUCUAUUACCCUGUAUGUUUGUGGGGGGAAGCUAGCCCUUCUCAAUAUGAAAAGAACACAAUAGUCACCCAGAACACUUCAUCUGAUGUUAUUUAACCCUACAAUGUAAAACAUUGCAGGUCUAAAGCCAUCUCUAUUGGCUGUCUUCCUGAAAUCCACUAGAGGUGCUUCCUGAUAGCAGCAUUUACUUGGAGGAGUGUGGUGUUUGGCCAUGCUUUCCUAGUUCUAAUCCAUUACCUUUUCUAUGAAAAGCAAUGGAUUUGAGGAGAUUGUAGAUGAUAUCACUUGGAUGCUUACAUCAUCGAUGGAGGAGCAGGAGAUUGCAGCAGAUGAGUCCAGAGUUGCAAACGAGAGGAGAACACUUUAUUUUGCUUAAUUUUACAUAGUAAAGGGAAGUGGACAGAAAAGGGGUGAACAGAGACGACUAUUUUCACAACUAAAGGUUCUCUUUAAAGAGUUACUCCCGUCACCAUGACCACUUUAGUAAUUUGACGUAGUCAUUGUGCCUGGAGUGUAUAUGUGCAGCAUUUCACUUUGGAAGAUUUCUGGACUAAUGUUAUUUCUGUUUAAAUUUCUUUGCACAGAGGCUCACUCAUUGGUUGACAGUGGUCAGCUAACACUCUGGUCAGCUUUUGCUGCUCUGUAGAAGCCAGAUGUCUUAAAUCUGCCUUCAAAGAAGAGCAGGAGCCCAACAGGACCCAGGCAAGAGAGCUAACUGUUAAAAAUACAUUUUGCCCCAAUACCAUGGAAUGUGGCCAGGGUAUUCCUAUCAUCAUAACCAGAAGGAGCUAAGGAUGGUUUAUUACCCCCAACAAAUACUUUUAGAACUAUACAAAUUAGGGAUCGACCGAUUAUCGGUCUGGCCGAUAUUUGGUAUUUUCGGCAAUAUCGAUAUCGGCCAAUUCAGAUACCGAUAUUGCCGAUUAUAUAUAACAGGACCGCCGGGCCCAUUACAAGCUCGGCGGUCCUGUGGGGGCCAGCAGCAAGCGCUGACUUACCUUGCAUGCAGCUCCAGCAGCUCCCUGUGUAAAUCUCGCGAAACCCGCGGCCGCAGAGCGUUGCCACGGGUUACCAUGGCAACGCUCCGCGCGGCACUAAGAGCCGCGAGAUUUACACAGGGAGCUGCUGGAGCUGCUUGCAAGGUAAGUCGCUUGCUGCUGCUGAGCCACCACUGUACUUAACAAGCCACUGGACCACCAGGGAAUACUAUAUCCCCCUCCCUGGUAAGAAGCAGGGAGGGGGGACUAAACAAAAAAUAAAAACAUUUUUAAAUAUUAAAAAAAAUAUUAAAAUAAAAAAUUACACAAAUUACAUCACUACACAAACACACACAAACACACACUGCACACAUACUGCUACUCAGACACACACACUGCAUUACACACACACACUACGCAAACACACACUAGGGGGGACUAAACAAAAAACAACAACAUUUAAAUAUUAAAAAAAAUAUUAAAAUAAGAAAUUACACAAAUUACAUCACUACACAAACACACACUGCACACAUACUGCAUUACAUACACACUACACAGACACACACACACACUGCAUUACAUACACACACUACACAGACACACACACCACAAACACACACACCACACACUGCAUUACAGACACACACACUGCACACACUACACUGCAUUACAUACACACACACAACACAAACACACUGCACACAUACUGCAUUACAUACACACUACAUUACAUACACACUACACACACACACUGCAUUACAUACACACAUUACAUACAUACACAUACACACUACACAAACACACACAAAAACACUGCAUUAUACACACACUACAUUCAUUAUACACACACUACACAAACACACACUCUGCAUCCACUACACACACUACACAAACACACACAGUUCCCCUGUCUAAACACACUUCAUCCACUACAUGUGGCAUGUAUAUUUUGUGCAUUUACCUUUCGAAUUAGUUUAUUUAUUCAAAAUAGUAAAUGUACAGAAUAUCGGCAAGAUAUCGGCUAUCGGCCUGAAAGUUUGCAGAUUAUCGGUAUCGGUAUCGGCUCUAAAAAAUCAAUAUCGGUCGAUCCCUAAUACAAAUACAAUUGAUCUAACAAUGAUCUAGCGAACUACAUACAUUUAUAUAUAUAUAUAUAUAUAUAUAUAUAGAUUGGGGAGCUAACAAGGCUGCAGUGCUUUUUUUUUAAAUCUCUUAUGUAUUAAGCUAGGAGGUGCACCAUGCAAGCAUAUUAACCUGGUUUCAAGUUCAAAUUUGCACCAAAACUUGGGGCUCUGCCAUCGGAUGGCCCAUGCAUUCAAGGCCACCUGAUUGGUAUUAUCCCUGAAGAUGCCCUAAGUAGGAUACAGGCUGUGAGAGAGAAAUAGAAGGAGAACCUAUAAACGAAAUUAUAGGUGAGUAUGAAGGAGAAGAGAAGGAAAACCUAUAAUAGAAUUUAUAGGUUACAAGUAUAUACAACUAAACAACAAUAUAAAGGAACAAGUAAUACUGAUAGGUUUAACGUUUAGAGGAUCAGUCUCUUUGGUUUUGAAGAUUGUACAGCAGGGUUUAUCAUAAAUCAAAGUCCAGUAUUUGAAUAAAGCUGGACAUCCAGGUUGGUUAAAUAGUUACCAGUAAUUUGUAGGAACGAAGUAAUAAUGAAACAAAGUCCAGUAUUGACUAAAGCUGGUAUGGAUAGACGAUCGGGAUCUCCAGGUUGGUUAAGCAGUGUUCAGUAAGUGAGGCAAGUUGAAAGGAUGAAUUAGGAUGGUUCAGAAUAUAGCAAGAUCUCAGAAUAGGAGCCAGGAUCAGAUGUCUUGUCCACUUCAGGGCACAAAUUUCAAUCAAUGUAAAGGCCUUAAAACAGAGACUCCAGGGUUAACUAAUGUUUUAAAGCUCCUAGCAGCAUGUUUACUAGAACUAUGUAAAGACGUGUUGUACAAGCAGGUUCCAGCAAUUCUCCUGAAAGAGAAAAUACAGAGAAAAAGCCCAAGCCAAUCACUCCUUCCAAGAAAAGCAGGAAAAGAGAACCACUAACUUAAUUUGUAAUGGAAAAGAGACAAGAUGACUUGUGUUAUUAUUGUGGUGAUACAGGACACCGAAUUACUAAAUGUCCCAGAAGACCUCCUGUAAGUGAUAAUCCUAAUAUACAGACCACAGAAACAACCACUCCUUUGUGCAAAGACUAUAACUACAGCACUUCUGAUUUAAACAAAGCUGACAUACAUACAUACCCUCUCUCAGUUGAUUCCCUAACAUUUCCUGAUUCAGAUAAGGGAUCUGUAGAGAUGGACUAUAACGUUCCGCCUUCAGAUGGCAUGGGUUCAGAGGAAUAGUUUAUGAACGACUGUCCUGAACCAAUGGCUUUUGCAAUGACUACCUCUCCUAUCAUCCAGUCAAAACAAAAACCUCCAUUUGAUGCCCCUGGUCUUGUAAAAGCCAGUGAUGGUACUAUAUUGCCAAGAAGGGAACUGAGGGAUUAUGAAACCCUUCUAAAAAGAAUGGGAUUUGUGGAUGGAAAACCCCGUGAGAGAUCCUACAAACAAAACCUUAUCAAUUCUUCCAUACAGCCAGCAACUAUAAGUAUAAUGAUAACAUCACCAAAAGAACCCACCUCUACACUACAGAUGAAAGAAAAUACCAUAACCAAAGAAAUGCCUCUUGAUUGCGUAAAGGCCUCAAACGGUAAAGUUGUACGUCGAAAAGACUUAAACCUGUUUGAAGAGAUGCUAAAGGACAAAGAAAAGAAAAAGAAACACAUGAGAGAAAUAAUGCAUUCUAAUUUGAUUUCUGUUUACUGUGGACUGUAUAUAACUUCUUUUGUUUUUGCCUCAGACCUUCGCGUUUGGAGUCAGCUCUUUAACCCCUUGACGACCGAUGACGGUUCAGGACCGUCAUCGGUAACAUACCGUUAAGGACCGGUGACGGUCCUGAACCGUCAUAACGGUAACACGUACUUGCCAGAUCACAGUCGUUCCCCCGGCGGCGAUCGGCAGUCUCCCCAUGGUGAAUUAGGACCCCUGGGGCCAUGAGGGCGACUGCCUGUGUGUAAAAUAAUUAAAAAAAAUAAUGUUAAUGUUAAUAAAAAUAUAUAAUUAUAUAUGUGUAUUUAUAUGAUAUAUAGACAUAUAUUAUCUUUAUAUAAUAUAUGUCUAUAUAUCAUAUAUAUAUAUAUAUAUAUAUAUAUAUAUAUAUAUAGUCAUACUAAGUGUAUUUUUAUAUUAAAAAUACACUUAUAUGUAUAUAUAUUAUAAAAUACAUAUAAGUAAAUUAAAUUAAAUUUUUUAAAAAAUAAUAAAAAAAUUAAAAAAUAUUAUAUAUCUAUAUGAAAUUUUAUUCUAACUGUAUUUUGAUAUUAAUAUAUAUAUUUAUAUCAAAAUACACUUAGAACGAAAUUAUAUAUAUAUAUCUAUGUAUAUAUAAAUAAAUAUACCAUAUACAAAAUGACAUAAAUAAUUAUAUAAAUAUACACGUAGACUUCAAAUAUAUAAAUAUGCAUAUAUAUUUAAAUUCUAUGUGCGUAUUUAUGUAAUAUUUUUACAUAAUUAGGUAAUUUUAUUGAUUGCAAUUUGAGGGACCUGCCUGACAACCCAGGCCGAAAGUCCAGAGAAUUUAAUUUGCUAGCACUGUAUUUUACCCUGUAACUUUCUAUGACACCCUAUAACCUGUACAUGGGGGCUACUGUUUUACUUAGUAGACUUCGCUGAACACAAAUAUUAGUGAUUCAAAACAGUAACAUAUCACAGCGAUGAUAUUGUCAGUGAAAGUUACUUUUUUCACACACAAACAGCACUUUUACUGAUGAUAUAAUUGUUGUGAUACGUUUUACUGUUUUGAAACACUAAUAUUUGUGUUUAGCAAAGUCUCCCGAGUAUAACAGUACCCGCCAUGUACAGGUUUUACAGCGUUUGAAAAUUACAGGGUCCAAUAUUAGGGUCAAAUAUUUUUACAUUGAAAAUUGCCAGGUUGGUUACGUUGCCUUUGAGAGCGUAUGGUAGCCCAGGAAUGAGAAUUACCCCAAUGAUGGCAUACCAUUUGCAAAAGAAGACAACCCAAGGUAUUGCAAAUGGGGUAUGUCCAGUCUUUUUUAGUAGCCACUUAGUCACAAACACUGGCCAAAAUUAGCAUUUGAUUUAUUUAUUUUUUACUUUUUUCACACACAAACAAAUAUGAACGCUACUAAAAAAGACUGGACAUACCCCAUAUUGAAUACCCUGGGUUGUCUACUUUAAAAAAAAUAUGUACAUGUGGGGUGUUAUUCAGAGAUUUAUGACAGAUAAUAAUGUUACAAAGUCACUAUUGAUACAUUUUAAAAAUAUAUAUUUUGAAACAGCAAUUUCCUAUUUGUACUUAUAGACCUAUAAGUACAAAUAGGAAAAAAGCAAAAAAGCACGCAAAUACUGUGUGUUUUUAAACUCAGGACUCAAAAUUUUGAAUCUAUUUAGCAGUAUUCAUAAUGCUUUCCUAUGGACGCUGGCGUGCUCUCACUGUGAAGCACGCAAGCGCCUCCAGUGGCUGUCAAUGAGACAGCAACUAGAGGAAAUAGGGGAAGGCUUAAGCCAUUCAUAAACAUAGCAGUUUCUCUGAAACUGCUAUGUUUAUGAAAAAAUGGGUUAACCCUAGCUGGACCAGGCACCCAGACCACUUCAUUCAGCUGAAGUGGUCUGGGUGCCUAGAGUGGUCCUUUAAGGAGGGGGAUGUGUUAUAUUCAUUCAAAACUUUUACCUUUCAGUCAAUUAGUUCCAGAGGCAAUUCCUGUUUUCCCACUAGCCACCAGUGUAACCAAAAACACUCUUACCUGAAUAGCAUGAUCAUCCAAACAGGAUGAGGCCACACCCGACUUCAAAGGGUACAUUUACAUUGAUUAAAGUUUGUGCCCUGAAGUGAACAUGACUUCUUAUCCUGGCUCCAACUCUGAAAUCCUGAUACCAUCUGAAAUAUCCUUAUUCAUCCUUUUCAACCUGCCUCACUUACUGAACAGUGCUUAACCAACCUGGAGAUCCUGAUCGUCUAUUCCUACCAGCUUUAGUCAAUACUGGACUUUUUAUUGAAAAACUCUGCUGUACAACCUCCAAGCUAAAGAGACUGAUACUCUAAAUGUCAAACUUAUCAGUACUACUUGUUUCUUUAUAUUGUUGUAUAUAAUUGCCAUGUAACCUAUAAUAUCUAUUAUAGGUUUUCCUUCUCUUCUCCUUCAUACUCCCUAUAAUUUUGUUUAUAGACUCUCCUUCAUACUCGCCUAUAAUUUCGAUUAUAGGUUCUCCUUCAUAGUCGCCUAGAAUUUCGUUUAUAGGUUCUCAUUUGUACUCACCUAUAAUUUCGUUUAUAGGUUCUACUUCUACUUCUCUCUCACAGCCUGUAUCCUGAUAACCUGCUUAGUGCAUAUUGCCUAAACCUCUGUUUCUGUUGUCUUUCCUUAUAUUACCUAUAACUUCAUUUAUAGGUUCUAUUAUCUCCUUUCGUCUGUAUUGUUUCCUUUACCCCUUAAGUUCUGAUAUUCUUAUUAUUUUCUUGUCAAAUCAUGUCUAAAGUUCAAAAUAAAAAACAUAAAGUCCUGAUAAAAACCUGAUGCAAAACCUUACACAAGGUGUGUGUGUUAUUGUGUGCAUCUGAAUGUGUGUGUAUGUGUGUUUCAAGACGUGUGUAAUUGUGUGUAUCUGAGUGUGUAUCUGUGUGUCAAAGUGUGUGCAUGUGUCAGUGGGUAUUCGAAUGUGUGUAUGUGUCAGUGUGUUCAUAUGUGCGUAUCUGUGUGUUAAUAAGGAUGUAUAUAUGAGUGUGUAUGCAUGUCUGUUAGUGAGUGUGUCUCUUAGUGACUGUGUGUUUCUGUCAAGGUGUGUGCAUGUGUCAAGGUGUGUAUCUUUGUAUCUGUGUGUGUGUGUGUCAGUGGGUAUUCGAAUGCGUGUAUGUGUCAGUGUGUCCAUAUGUGUGUAUCUGUGUGUUAAUAAGUAUGUAUAUCUGUGUAUGUAUGUAUGUGGCAGUGCAUCUGCAUACAUCCCAGCAAUCAAACACCACUACAAAAUGAAACACAAACAUUACAUCCAAACACACCCCUGCAUGCAAAUGCAAUAAUUAUAUCCAAACACACCCCUGUAUUAAAAUGCUAAAGUUAUACACAAAUCAACUUUACACACAAAACCACACCUGCUCCUAAGUAUUACAAUCUGUUUACUACCUGUAGAAAUUAGUGUACGUAUACCAAAAAUCAGUUACUACAAAAAAAAAAGCGAAAACAUAACAAUCUGCUUAUUAAAAGUUUCACACUAUGUUGCAAAAUAUUUUUGGGGUUCCACAAUGUUGGUACAUUAUGACAAAGGGUUCCACAGGUAAAAUUAGUUGGGAACCCCUGUCUUAGAGCUUCAUUCUGAAAUAUUUAUAACAUAACAGUUAUGGUACAUAAAACACAAUAUGUAGAACAUAGUAUCGAUAUACUGAAAACCUCAAAAUAUAAAUCUUCACAAAUCAUUUAUGUAUUAUUGCAGGGGCUUUUAUCCUAUGAGGUGUGCCUCCCCUGGGGAGGUGAAAAGGUGUUAGUGGGGAGGUGUGACAUUCCUCAUUAAUAUUUUUGUAAUUUAGUUUAGAGUAGUUUAGAGUCCCGAUACCCAGAUUAAAAAAAUGUCAGAGGCAUCUGCAUAAUCAAAAAUUGUAUAAUUGAAGUGUUUGGUACAACAAGGACUGCUGUUAUUGUGUACGGUUGUGUUCGGUAAAAUGACGACUAACUGUCUAACUAUGCUCAAUAUGGGUUCACAUGCUACUUGGCCUUGAAUUGAAAAACUGCUGGGUUUUAUGCACUAACAUUAAUAAUAUAUUAUAAGAAUAACAAUUCCACGUCAAUUACGUAAUUUAUCCAUUAUUAUUUGAUUUCGGAAAGGAGGGGAGGUAUGAAUUUUAAGUUUACUUACGGGGAGGUGUGAGACUAAAAAGGCUAAGAACCUCUGUAUUAGUGGCUCUUAGAAGAUGAUGGGUUAAAUCAUUCUCACAUAUUUAAAAUAAAAAUAACUUCCUUGUUAGUAGGAUUACACUUUUUGAGCUAGCACAGAACAGUGUUUAUUUAUGAUGUUGAAAAACUUGGCAAAGAACACUUGCUUUAUCCUAAUAGAGAAAGCGGUGACAGUCCUUUAUGAUCAGUGACAUAUAAACUCGCUUCUGAUACAGAAAGAAUGAAGACUCCACAAACAGAAAACCUGUUGAAUUCCCCACUCCUCACCACCAUUCCCUAAUUAUUUCAAUGUGAGUUCUCUGGGAUAACUGUAGAGAAGAGUUAAACUUUAAAUAGCAAAAGUGGACUGUACGGUUCCUCCAACAAAUUGGGCAAUCAGAAUCAUCUGAGAUUUCCAUUCCAUUUUAGUAGCACAAGAAAAUAAAUAACUUACUGUUUUCAUCCAACACAGGCACUCAAGAAAAUACACAUAUCAAAGGACAAUGUUACAAGCCACCAGUAAAGGAACACUCUGGGCACCAUAAUAACUACCGAAUUAGGCAGUGGAGCCGCUGAUUGGCUAAGAGGCAGUGGAACUGCUCUCAGGCAAUCAGUGACUCCCCACCCAUUCAUAAAAAUCCUCCUAAAAAACCCUUCUGUAACCUACCCGAUUCGAGCGCUUAUUCAGAUUCUGCCUCCGCAAAUGUUUUAUGGGGUAUUGGGUGGCGUGGCGACGUCCGGCAUCAAUUAGGCGACCAAAAGUUGCUUAACCACCUGGAAGGCCCUCUAGUGGCUCUCUGGUAGACAGCCACUAGAGGUGGAGUUAACCCUGCCAGGUAAUUAUUGCAGUUUAUUGAAAACUACAAUAAUUACUAUUGCAGGGUUAAGGGACCUAGAACACUGCACCCAGACCACUUCAAUGAGCUGACGUGGUCUGGGUGCCUAUAGUGUCCCUUUACCAUCUAAUCUUCUAUAUGAUGUUAUUUAAAUAAGGAAUUCACUUUUAUUUCAAACUGAUGUGUAAUUAUUUGAUGUUCCUAUGGACAAUUCACUGAUCUUCACAGAAGAUUUCAUUCUAUUCAAGCCUGAACCAGGACAACCUAGGAUCUUUAUAUAGAUGUAAGAAGAACCACAUGGAAAUACGUAAAUAAAAAGAUGGGAUUUCUAGAGCUUGUUCAAAGUCUAUGUAGCAUCUCGGACUUCUCAAUCAAGUCUCUUCCUUCUGGCUGUAGGUAGAAUGCAGGGAAGUAGUCUUCACAAGUGUCAUUUUUGAUGCUGGUGGAUAUGCAGAUCUUGGUCUCAGUCUUAAUUUUGUGUGGAAAGGUAUCCUGAGGCCAGUCAGCACUGUGUAGUGGUCAGCAUUUGUAGUGGUCUCUUUCAAUGUGCCAUUUUAUCACAGUAAAAGUUCACACAUACAUAAAAUGAAAACAAAAGCAGAAGAUAGUGCUCUCUGUAUAGCUAACAGAAUAUCUAAGUAAAUAAUGAAAGGAGGUAUGCUCACAAACGGAGCACAGUUCAAUCCUAUAUAGUUUAGGUGGUAUAUUCCUAACCUAGGAAACCAAAGUAUGAAUCCUCCAGGCAAAAAUCUUCAUAGAUAAAAACAGGAAGGUCCAAAUUUGAUUUAUAGCCAAACUAAUAAAACCAAAAGUAUAGUAUAAAACAACAAUAAAACACUAACGCAAAAGUGAAACAGCUCAUUGAUUUACAGCUCAUUAGCAAGCACAAUAUAUAUGUAUUACAAACUAUAAUUCCACAAGCACUACAUGCCACUUGAACAUGUGUCACUCAUGUCUAAUCAAACAAAUUAUAUGUGAUGAAAUCAUUUUAUUGCAACACCACUACUGAUGACAUUUCCUUUACUCACUCUGAACACUUGCAUGUAUUAUUGAUUUUGAGUAACUUAUUCAAAGGGAGAUGAUUCAGGGUUUAAAGGUAAACGCACCAUUACAGUUAACGCUGAGGGAAAGAAAGAGGCUUUGACUGGCCCACCUCAAUCCUGUUUUUAACUGUGCCUAUGUUUAGUGACAUUUUCUAUUAAGGCAUUUAAUUUAUCAAAUAAACUCAGGUUGCAUUAACAGGGGAAUUUACUGCCUAAUUACACUGAUCACUUAUUUUAUUAAUUUAAAGGGACACUCCACAACUACAAAAAGUAGUAAAGAUAUCCGCUAAGAAAACAUGUAUGCUUUUAAUCAUGCAUUUUUUCAUUGAGACAUAUCUAAUAACAGCUUGCUAAAAUGCACAUCUCUUGUCUGUAGCCAUUGUAAGCCCUCCUCUUCUAACCCCGCCCAGACUUUCUGUGGCUGUCCAAUCACGGACUUCCCAAAGCAGUUCAAUGAGAAGUCUUUGCAAGGCAGGUGCUCAAUUGCGGCCUCUUGAGUUUAGCUCAACUGAUCUAAACAAACCAGGAAGCAACAGGACCAAUUGUCUAAGUGACACAUAAGGGAGUGUAUGAAGGUUAAUCUUUAAAACUACCAAUUCAUAUCAAAAUCUGUUCUUUCUGUUCAAAUCUGUUUUUUCCCCCCUCCUUUUUAUUGCGUGAUGCUUCCCAAUAUAGUCACCUGUUAACCGACAAGGAAAGGCCCCUAUUCCUCGAUUCUCACUUGCUUUCCUGACAGUAUAACCAGGCUAAAGUUACAGUAAAACACAGCAACCAGAGCCAGGUGUCUAAGUUCCACCUUAUUUUAGAAGAUGAAUGCAUGCAAAAUCUCAAGAUGAAAAUUGCAUGAAUUGGAGACUGAUAUGGGAGUAAAAGUGAGAUCAAAGUUGAAAAUAAUAAUAAGGGGACCUCGGGCUUCAGGGGUUGUGUUGGGAACAAAGUUAUUGCUGAACCUUCAUCAUUUUUUAUAACAAAUUUAUCAUCUUUUAUAACAAAUUUACCAGGUACAAUUAAUUAGAUUUUUCUAUAUAUUUAUAGUAUAUUCAGAUGAUAAAUUUUGCAUUAUUGUUAUAUACAGCCUAUUUAAAUACUUAUUAAAUGAGUCUGGUUGUACCAUAAUCUAUCCUUGACCAAAAAGCUACGUAAAUCCAAUUGGAUUGCAACAGGAUUUACAUAACUGACUAGUCAUCAUAGUUUAUAGCAUUGUAAAAUGUGCUCCUCCUGAAUAUUACACACAGAGAGACAUAAUUCCUCUCUGUUCACUUGAUUGUUGAAACAAAUUGUAGCACAAAGGGAUAUUAUAGUUAUCAAAACAACUUUAGCUUAAUGAAGCAGUUGUGAUGUAUAGAUCAUUCCCCUGCAGUCUUAUUGCUCAAUUCUCUGCCAUUUAGGAGUUAAAUCACUCUUGUUUCUGUUUCUGCAGCCCUAGCCACACCUCCCCUGCCUGUGACUCACACAGCCUGUAUGAAAAACAAUUGUUUCAUUUUCAAUCAGAUGUCAACUUGUUUUAGAAGCUUUUAUCUCCUGCUCUGUAAAUUGAACUUUAAUCACACACAGGAGUAUCCUGCAGGCUCUAUAAUACUACUAGCAGAGUGAGAUGAAACAUCCUAGAGUAAACAGAAUGUGCAGUACCGGAACCUAGGUUAUUUUUCUGGAAGUGUUUAGGAAGAAUGUGCAAGUCACAUGCAAGGAGGUGUGACCAGGACUGUAUAAACAAAGUGAUUUCACUUCUAAAUGGCAGAGAAUUGAGCAGUGAGACGUGAUCUAUACACCAAAACUGCUUAAUUAAGUUGUUUUGGUGCCUAUAGAGUCCCUUUAAGGGUGCCUUUGAUGGUACUCACCAUCACUGGAAGCAUAGGGCUGACACUCCAUGUAGGCCCCUGGAUGACUGUUAUGUUUGAGUCACCCUGUGCCCAUUAUAGGUAUUGUUAAAUUAGAGGAAUGUUUUGUAAAAUAUCCUGUCUGGCUAUGGGACCUAUGCAGCACCACCUGCUGGUGGUAAAUGAGUCUGCUACAGUUAUGUGUAGCACCGCCUGUUGGUUGCAACAGUUCAGUGCAUUAACUAAAAAACAAGACUUGUUCAUUUUCAUAGUGUGAGUUGGUGAAAGACAUAUUCCGUUUGUGUUUCUCUUUCCAAAUCCUUGUAUGAAUAUUUUAUUAUGUUAUUAUUUUUAUGUUGUUUAUUACCUGUUAUUUAGACUUUGUAGUACUUAUUAUUUUACUUGUGCAUGUCACCACAUUUUUAAGGUUAAGUCAAAAACUGCUGGUCCUUAUUCAAAAUAAAAUGUUGUGUGGUAGUUCCAUUGUCUUGCCUGGUUUGUUUGGCGAUUUCAGUAGCAGAGUUUUCAAACCUGCUUGUUGGUUGUACUAUUCCCUGAUCCAUAUUAAGAAAGAGCUAGGCAUGAGUUCCACAAGUGCCUUUGUAAAGGCAGUAGGUGAAAGCAUGACAGGCAGAAGACAGGAUUCCAGAUUGGGAGAAGGACAGGUAGAGGGGGUAUACCUGCCUGGGAGACGGAGGCAAGGGCACAAGGGUCUAUACCUGCUUUGGAGGACAACCUCUUCUGGAGGUCAGCCCUGCUGAAGUCUCUGUAGCUUCUGGUUUGACCCCUGGUCUCAGUAACGAACGGUCUUCGCUGGUAGCCCCACAUCCCCUGUGGAAUUUUGUCACAGUGGCAGUAAGAGGAGCCAGCAAAUUUUUAGCAAAUUGGCAAUUACUAACAAAUGUUCUGCUUCCUUUAACUAAACCACAUUUCCAAGACAACAGUUCAAAAUCCUCAAUUCCAAGUGUAUUUGUCUAGACACAGAACACAGAAUCUUUAACUUUUUGAAUACCUGCUCCUGAACCCUGAAUCCAAAGAAUGUCAGUAACUAUGUUGUAUUCCAACACUUGUCAAUACUCCUUUAUAUGUUGAAAUUUGAAUUUUUAUAGAAUUCUGUCAAAUAUGUGACAGUCAUUUUGCUUUAUUUCUCUAUAUAUUCUUUUUUAACUACUGCUUGUCUCAUUUGGUUUUGCUCAUCACAUUUCUUUCUUUUCUCUGUUUUUUUUUUUUAUUAUUUCUAUGCCAAACUUUAUUGUGAAAAUACAUUUGCACCAUUGUAUGUUUAAGGUCAUGGAAUUAAAAACAAUGACAAUACGAGAUUAGCCCUGUUUCUAUCUGUGUCUCAUGGCACUAGAGCAGCAAGUUUGAAGCCAGUCCUUUUAGUCCCAGCUUCAUGAAUAUGCCAUAGGGACAGAGCUGAGCAAUCACUAAAUCCUGAACCUAUGGGUUGUGUCAGAAUUGAUCUGAACACCACUGCCUUUGGGAUUAAAGGAUCACUAUAGUGCCAGGAAAACAAACUCGUUUUCCUGGCACUAUAGUGUUAAUAGGUCCCUCCCACCCUCAUGGCCCCCCUUCCGCCGGGCUCAAAGGGGAGGAAGGGGUGAAAGGCUUACAUAUCUCCAGCGCUGGGGACUCUCCUCCUGACGUCAUCGGCUGAAUGCGCAUGUGCGUCAAGAGCCGCUCGCGCAUUCAGUCAGUCCAUAGGAAAGCAUUCUCAAUGCCUUCCUAUGGACACUGGCAUCUCGGAAGCGCCUCUAGCGGCUGUCAAUGACCUGGCACCCAGACCACUUCAUUAAGCUGAAGUGGUCUGGGUGCCUAUAGUGGUCCUUUAAGGAUUUGACACUCCUGAAUUAGGUUGUCAAGUAUCAAAACAUCUUAGAAAUUACUUUGAUAGAUGCAUGUACAAAAUGUUAAAGAAACACUCCACAUCCAUGAAGCACGUUAGCUUGUGUAAUAGCAGUAAUACAUUAAAAAAAGCAAAACAUGAUUUAAAUUUAUAAAAAGAAGAAAAAAAAUCUAAACAUGAAGACACAUAAAUAUAGUUUCAACUUACUUUGUUGCUUUGCAGUUGACUGCUUACUUUGCAAGCAUACAGGGAGUAUGCUACAUUUUACAAUUAAUUCUCACUGCCUUUAGAAAUAACACUGUAUAGCUUUUUUUCAUAACCACUUCCUCCUUUGGGAGAGUGCUACACAGCUGGGGUUGAGCAAAAUCUGGAUUAUGGAUAACUCCUUCCCACCACUGUAAAGUAUGUAAUCCUGUGGUAUGUCAUCAUCAGAGAGACCAAAACUAUUUAUAAAUGCAAUUCGGCUUACAGCUAGUUAUGUUCCUGCCAUUUAGGGCAGGGUUUCUUAACUCCUGGAUCUUGAUUUAAAAUCGGGUCCCUUAUUAUAUGUAUUUAAUGUCUUUGUUUGUCAAUAUGUCUACGUACUCUAUUGUCUAAAAUGUAUUUUAUAAAACUAAUAAAAAGAUUAAAUAUGCUAUUUUAUUCAGCCCUCAAUAUUCACAAUAGGCUCAUCAUUGUCAUGUAUUUACUAACUAUAAAUAAUUUACGGUAGCAGCACUGCAUUCCCUGGUGCCGUGGAGGCUAUUUUGAUACUAGAAAAAGAUUUUUGAAGAGUUUCAAAUAAUUCAUUAUUUUACGUAUUCAUGUCUCUACUUAGUUUUAGUGCCCCACCCCAGCCUGCAAAAAAACAAACAAACAUAAACAAAUUAACCUCCUUUCAAGUGUCAUGUCUCCCAAGGCCUCCUCCUAGCGUGAUGUCAUCCUGGAUGAUGGCCCUCGCCGUGAUGAACCUAUGAUUCUUGCAUGCAAUAAUUUUCUAUGGAAGACUGUGAUGGCACAGCGUGUGUGAGCAUGACGUCACAGUAUGAUAGGGUAUGAGAGCCAGGAUUUACAGUCCUGGCAAUCAUACCCAGAGGGCUUUGAGACGUGGAUUAGAGCUGUGCUUCCAAGCCUUGUAAAUACUAAAAUAUUUUGAUAUGGGGCCAUUAGGGAGGGUGCACCAAAUGUAGGCACUUAAGCACCUUCAUAACAAUAGUGAGUGCAGUGUUCCUUUAAUUUUAAAAUGGAAUAAUGGUUUACCAAGCUAAUACCAAGGACAUAAUAUGUCCCUUAUCAAAGUUUAAGAGACACUAAAUUAAUGGUGUAAUAAUGUGCUUUCAACCAGCAUUUGGGCAAACACAAUAUAUCAGUUUCUCUGGAAAGCAAAAUAAAUGCUUAUAAUCACGGAUCAAGUAUAUUCUUUCAAUUUUAUCACAUUGAUCACACACAUUAUACAUUUAAACAUGGAAACUGUGAAUUAUAACCACUUUAGAGCAUUCUCACAAGUGCAAUAUUUUACUGGAUAUUUAAAUACAAGGCUCAGUGGUGGAACUACAGCGGUCGCAGGGGUCGCAUUUGUGACCGGGCUAGUCACUUCAGGGGGCCCGACCUCCCUGCAGACCCCUGUGACUAGGUGCCUGCCGGCCAUGUGUUGCGGGUCCGGCCCGCGCGGUGGAACCGCCGGGGUUACACGUUAAGGGGCCAAGGCUGUUAGGGCCACCUGAUGGAAAUGAAUUUCAAGGGGGCCCGGUCAGUGCUGCUGCACUUUAACAGCACGACAGGGCCCCCUAUGAUGACAUCAGACGCUGGGAGGAAGUGACUGCCCUGGUCACUUCCUCCCAGCAACCACUGGGAGCCGCGUGGGAGGAAGAGGGAGAGGAGAGAGUCAGAGUGGGAACUCUGACUCCCAUCAGGCUGAGCCACUGGACCCAAGGGAAAGUCGCCCUCCUGCAUUUAAAAGGUAGGAAACAGGAGAGUGACUUAAACAUUUUGUAUGUGUGUCUGUAUAUAUAUAUAUAUAUAUAUAUAUAUAUAUAUAUAUAUGUAUUUAUGUGUGUAUGUGUGUCUGUAUGUAUGUAUGUAUGUGUAUAUGUCUGUGUGUAUGUAUGUAUAUCUGUAUGUAUGGGUCUCUGUGUAUGUGUUUGUAUGUGUGUCUGUAUGUAUGUGUGUGUUUGUGUAUAUGUGUGUUUGUAUGUAUGGUGUAUGUAUGUGUAUAUUUUUGUCUGCAUGUGUGGGGGGGAUGUAUGGGGGGAGGGGCUCAGGACAAUUUUCACACUGGGGCCCUGUGGUUUCUAGUUACACCUCUGACAGGGCCCCACUCCUGAAAGCCUAGUUCCUCUUGGGAAGCAGAUAUCUGGUCUCUUUAUCCUAAAAUAGUGAUCAUAUUAUAAUUGAUAAAAAAAAUAUUUGGUGUGGAUUAGUGUAUAAAAGAGCUUCUUCACAAUGAAAUGCUGCCAUGAAUGCCUUUAGAAAUGUUUGUGUAAAUAACAUAUAUGAUUUCUGUUUGUGUGAUAUAGUGCAUUGGUUUAACCAAGAAUCAAUAGUUCAUGAAGUCACCUAAACAACUUACUUAAUGCUAUGUCCUGUUGCCUUUUAUGGUCCAUCUCUAGACCCUCCUUCUAAAAUAACUGUUGUUAAAGCACUUGAGCAAGCUCUUCAAUCAUAAAGUAUAAUUGAAGGAGGCUGGGCUAUGUGGCUAGUGCCAAAUCUAGCACAACUACCUCCUCCUUCCCCCCAUGUCAAGCUGAUCCUUAUAUACAGUACCAGUACAUGGCUUUAACUACAAGAAAUGACCGCGUCUUAAUUUAAAUACACCAAAGAAUUGUAUGGGGAAGGUGAUGUAAAAUAUGCCUGUGUUUGGCAGGAUGGUCUUAAAGUCGGGUUCCAGAGUUCCCAUAAUGUAUAGCACAAGCAAGUUUUUAGAAAUGCUCACACUAACUGUAUUUAGAAUACUGAGCCAAUGGGCAUAAUGCUCUGCUUAUGUGCAGCCCUGUGAAGGGAAGGUCAGCACAAUGAGCAUGCCAGGCUGAUAUGCCACUUUUUUCAGACAGGGCUAUCUCUUUUGGUAUUGCCAGUGACACAAAUUGUAUCACAAGCAUACCCUAUUCGUAUUUCCCUCCAUCUCUGUCCAUGUUUAAUAGUUUCCAAUGUUCUGACUUACAUGCAAGCAAAUAAGAUUCUCUGGAGGGAUAAUGGGGCAAGUGAAUGGUCACCACAUAGUCUUGCAAAUGGGGUUGUGGUCUUGCAAAAACUACAGUCCUUGUACUUCAUAGUGUAAUGACAGGCCACAUUUCAGAGUUCAAAUUUCAAUAUUCAGAUUUUUAGACUUUGUUUGAACUCAUAAUUUAGUUAAUCUGUCAAUGCAAUGCAAUCUACUAUUCUACAAACCAAUUGAGACAAAAGCCGACAAAUCCAGUUCUACCAAAAAUAUAGACUUUUUUGAGGUUCAAAAGAACGCCAUCUAAACCACUGUGAAGUCAACUUAUGUUUUCUUCUCUACAAAUAUCACAUGAGCAAUUGGGAUGACUAGUUUUACUAAUUCAGGAAAGGGCUGUUCUUUUGACAUGCUCCCUUUCUAAUCACUCAAUAUGUAAGUAGUAAAUCUAACCAACACAGCAGGCUGGUUUUAUUUAAAAAAAAAAAAAAAAAAAUCCUGAACAUCUUAUAUACUUACUGGCCCUUGCAAUUACUAUUAUUAUUAUUUAUAAAACACCAACAAAUUCCACAACACUGUAUAAUGGAUGGACUAGCAGACAAGUAUUUGCAACAAGUCGAGUUGGACACACAGGAACAGAGUGUGCUGAAGGCCCUGCUUCACCAAGUUUACAUUCUAGAGCAGUGGUUUCCAACCCUAUCCUCAAGUACCCCCUAACAGUCCAGGAUUUAGGGAUUACCCUAUUCUGUCCAUUGGUGGAUCCGGGGGGGGGGGACACAACGGAGCAAUUGCCCCCCCGAGAUUCUCACCUGCCGACUAAUGCAGGGCUGGCAUUGUCCAAGCGCCAGCCCUGCUAUGUGCCUGCGGACACCCUCCCCCCCGGUCCUCAGGCACAUUUCUGACAGCUGGCAGGGGAGGGAGAGAGGACCCGGGAGCUCAGUCUGCAGCUCCUCCGGGUCCUCCUCUAGCGAGCACGGAGCGUUGCCUCGGUUACCACGGCAACGCUCCAAAUCUUGCGAGAGUGAACUCUAGCUCUGGAGCGUGGGCUAGACUUCACUCCACACUGGAACCACCAGGGAUUCCCACUGGGACCACCAAGGACGGAGAAAUGUCCCCUCUUCUCCUCAAUAAAGGUAAGAAGGGAGGGGGGGGGACAUCAAUAUAUUUAUUUUAUUAAAUACAUUUUUUUUUAUUAAAAAGCCUCCCUACCCUCCUCCCCCCAUACACAAAUACACUGCCCCCCAUACACACACACACACACUGACGCCAUACACACACACACACACUGCCCCCAUACACACACACACACUGCCCCCAUACACACACCGCACACCCAUACACACACUGCCCCCCAAUACUGCACACCCAUACACACACUGCACCACAAACACUGCACACCCAUACACACACAGACACAUACAGUGCCCUACACACACAUUGCCCCACACACACACAACCCCACUAUACAUACAGUACCCCCCAUACACACACUGCCCCCACACAUAAAGUGCCCUCCUCAUACACACACUGCCCCACACAGACAUACAGUGCCCCAAACACACAUACAGUGCUCCCCAUACACACACUGCCACCCUCACACACACACACACACUGCCCCACAUAUACACUGCCCCCUAGCACACACUGCAACCCUGACAUACACUGCCGCCCUCACGCACUCACACACACACUGCACCUUUCACACACACUUCACCCUAACACACACCACUGCUCCUAUGCCCUAUAUCCCAGCAGAACCCAGGUAAGUUGUCAAACUGUUCUUAAACGGUAUGACUACUUACUCUGGGGUGGAAUCCUGGCACUACUGGCACCAUAACUACUACACUGAGCUGUAGUGGUUAUUGUGCCAGGAUUAUUUAUUUAAAUAAUCUACAAGUGCCCCUCCCGAGAUCAGGCUCUGGAUCCGCCACUGAUUCUGUCUAAAGUGCGUUUUUUCUAAGAACACCUUAGAUACAACAAGGUAAUCCCUAAAUCCUGGACUGUUAGAGGGUACUUGAGGGCUCGGUUGGGAACCACUGUAUCUAGAGCAAUACAUAGUUUUACUCUUGUGAUGCUUGAUAGGAACCAAACAGCUAAGCAAAGACCAUAAAAGCUGGGUUUGAUAAAUUUUCACUGCAAAAUAUAAGGAUUUAAGGGAAUUGUUUGAUAUCCUGAAAAGUAUAGUAAAAUUGUGAUAAAUGUAGACUCACAAGUAAAAAAGUAUUUGAUUACUAGUGAAUCUACAUUUGUAGUGGAUCUAUUUAAAUGCCCUUCCUGCCUGAUUGAUAUCGGUGAGACCACUAAUAAAACAAAGAUCAUAUGUCUAAAUGUAGAUCAGACAUUCGCGCCAUGAAAACUCAUAAAUCAGUGCCAGCUAAUUUUUGCUCCUAUAAUCACACAGUAUCACAAAUGAAAUGACAUUGCUUAUGUAUCCAUACAGUUGUGGGGGGAAACAGACAAAACAUUUCUUUAAAUAUGGGAUGUGUUCUGGGUCCAUAAAUUGGAUUGCUUGGAACCUAAAGGAUUUUAUUGUGACUUUGAUCUUCACUUAUUUUUAUAAGUUUGGGAAUGAUAAUGUCAUAGGUUUAUUGUACAUCACAAUUAUUUUUGGUAGUGAUCAUUUUAUAAUUUUUCCUUUUUUCUCUUUAGAUUAUCAUACCAACAAGGGAUACCCUACUUUUUUUAUUUUUAUAUGUGGUGACUAUGAUGCACUGUGUGCAAAGUUACAAAUACCAGAUGUAUCUAACCAUAUUUUGUAUGCUGCAAGAGUGUAGAAUUUCGAUUGAUGUAGUUCUCAGUAUGACAGGAUAUGUCUGUCUUCCUUUAAGGACGGAGGCAAUUGUACACGUUUUAAACAAAACAAAACCUGGAAUUUGCGCUGUCUGUUCAAACACAAUUCACCUCUUUCAUAUUGUGCACCAACACUUAUUAUAUAUUAUAUGUUCAGGAGAAACAGAGCUUUCAUUUCUCAUUCAAACAUUUCGCAUGACAUUUUAACUGUAAAUAUCAUAAUACUGUUAGCUUUUGCUGCAAUAAAACACACAUAUUUGUAUUCAGCAAAGUCUCACGUGUACAACAGUAACCCACAUGUACAGGGUUUAUGGGUUUUUGGAAAGUUACAGGGUUAAAAAUAGGGCUUUCCCCAUUUACAGUUUUUACAUAUUAAAAUUUGCCAGAUUUCUUUGCUGGGCCUAUGUUUCCUUUGAGACUGUAUGGCAGCCCAGAAAUGAAAAUUAGCCCCAUCAUGGCAUACCAUUUGAAAAAGUAGACAAUCCAGGGUUUUUAAAAUGGGGUAUGCCUGGUCUUUUUUUACUAGCCACUUAGAGACAACGUUGGCCAAAGUUAGCGUUCAUUUUUAAGAUAUUUUUUCACAAAUAAACUGCCCUUUCAUCAAUGAUAUCAUCAGCAUUAUAUGUUUUAUUGCUCUUAAACACUCAUAUUUGUGUUCAGUAGUGUCUCACAAGUACAACAGUGCCCCCCAUGUCCAUGUUUCAUGGUGUUUUGGAAAGUUACAGGGUCAAAUAUAAGGCUUGCCCAUUUCCGUUUUUGCACAUUGAAAUUUGCCAGAUUGGUUAUGUUGCUUUUGAGACCGUAUAGUAGCCAAGCAAUGAGAAUUAGCCCAAUCAUGGCAUAUCAUUUCAGAAAAAAAAAAAACAACCCAGGGUAUUUAAUUAUUUUGAUUUCAUUUUCCUAGCACUAGGCAGUCCCCCUUCAGGCAUCUCCAUAGCCUGCUAUUGGACCAUUUGAUCACUCUGUGAGCGAUCACAUGGUCCCCGGGGACCUGAUUUGCCAGGUGAGGACUGCAGGGGCUGUCAGGCAGUCCUCCUAAAGAGGUUCGUGGGGAGUUGAGUUAUAUCCCACCGCAAAGACUUUAAAGAACAUUAGAAUGGGGGUGGCAUGGAAUGCUGUAACAGCAGGAAGAGGUUAAGAAGCUUUUUUGUUUAGAUCAAUCAUAAUCUAUUUUAUCACUGUGGUUAUGGUAUAUUCCACGUUUUCCAUGCUAUGUCCUUUUCUUGCUUGUGGUAUAAUGUAAAGAGUACAUUUUUAUAUAUAAUUGACUGUCUCAAUUUAGGGGCAGUAAUCAACUGGGUAUUUAAGUUGUAGAUGUUAAUUGGAUCUAAGUGGACCACUAAGUGGUGGAAUAAAUCUCCAUUUGUAAACUAGGUAGUGUUACGGCUUUCCUUACUUUAUUUUUGUACUUUGAAGGCUUUGGAGCUUCACAUCAUGCUGGAUCUCUAAAUAUGUAUACAAAGAUUUUAAAAUGGAUAUUAUGUGGGCAUACAUAAAUAAUUAAAAUAGGUUAGGGGAGCACAAACAUUCUGAGAAUUCAUAUUAUCUUUUCCUAUACAGUUAUUUAUACUAGUAUGAGACUUUGUGGACUAAUAGUUUCUAUUCAAUUCCCCCUUACACCAAUAUUCAGCAGAUAAAAUUGGACUUUUGAGAUUUAAAUCAGUUUCCUGUUGUGGAUUAUUUUAAGAAAUUCUGUACUUUCCAAAAUGCUUGAAGUAAUAUGAAGGGAGAUUUCCUGUGGUACUGUAUAAUAUGGAGCCAACACACAACUAUGCAAAGAGUGAUACAUUUCUUUACACUUAAUAGAUUACACAUCAUAGAAAAACAGUAAAAAUAUACAGUAUUUUUGCAGGCCAACUUUGUAGCCCUGUGCUUUUUAUGCCUCCCAAGUACAAUUCCUUCAGCAUCCUUUCUACCCUGCUUGUCUCAUUAUUACGAGAUCAGAGUGUUUGGUGUGAAUGAGUAUAUCAGACAGCUAAAGCAAAAUAAAACAUACAGUAAACUAUGCUAUACUGCAAUGAAUAUGUGUAUAAUUUUGCAAGUGCACAUUAAAUAAUUUUGUAUUUUUUUAAAUGGCACAUCAAAAUUCAUAAAUUAACUUUUAAUACGUGAAGAAGUUAAAUUAUUUUACCUAUCUUUCACGCUUACCACUCCAGUCUUGCUGCUUCCGCUCCUUCACUGGAUCAUUACUGAUGCUCUCAGCUAAUUCAGUGUUUCUCCUAAGUGGGGGUUUCGGGUCUACUACGCAUGUGAGGCAAUCACAGCUGCUCCUACAAAAAUUUCCUCAUAUCAAUCCGUCUAUAUGGGGCACAUUUGUGUGCUCAGGCCAGGGCCAGCCCUAGUAUGUGUGGAGCUAUGUGUAGUAUAAAAUGUAGGGCCAUGUUUACAUUUUUCCUUUCCUUAGAAAACAUUUAUAAUACCCAUUUUGGCAAAUUCAGCCAAUUUGAGCCUGUCAAUCAAGGUGCAUUGAGAGGUAUUUGCUGAUCUGCUUUGCACAUCUUGUGCAGUGUGAAUUUGAACUCCUGGAAGGCUGUCUAUUGGCUGAUUAUUGAUAGACUUCAAGGCAGUGGGUAGCUUGGGGGUGGGGGGGAAUGGGAUGUAGCACACCAUGAUCAUUAGGGGAGAUGUUUUUAAAGUCUUAAGUCUGAAACAAAUACUGAUGCAGAUCAAUUUAGAGUCAAGAGAUCAAAAUUGGACAUGGUAACCAUAAAUUGGAAUGUGUAAUAUAUUCCCCUCAGUAUUUAAAUAGAUUUCCUGAUGGGAGGGUAGAAGGAGACCAAUUUGUCACCAUUUUGGUAAAUUGUCAGACAAACAUGUUGGUAAAACACUUAGAAUAACUGAAAAGUUUUUACAUUUUCUUUCACAAGCUGCGAAGUAACAUCUAGUCUUAAUUUAAAAAAAAAUAUAUAAAGAAAGAAAGGCAAUUCCUCCCACAAAUUCCAAAAAUGCAGCAAUCUAACAAAUCAUGCAAUCUGUCUUGUGGCUAAGCAGCAACUGUCUAGCCUUCACUCAGUUAGAUUUUACUUUAAAGGAUAACAAACAUAAGCUUUCUUCCCCCCAGUUUAGGUUAAAUAACUUGGAUUCAUAUUAUGACAUUAAAUACAACUCUAAUGUACAAAAAUGAUGCUAUAUCCAUAUAUAACUAUGACCACACCAUACAAAAUACUUACACAGAUGUAUUUAAUAAUAUAAUGUAGUGUAAUCUUAUUUUGUUGUUUAGUGAGUCACCAAAAUAGAACAAUUAAUGGAGCAUCUAUUUCUAAUGUUAGAGGUACUUUUUAAAUGUUUAAUGUCAAGAGUUAAAUAAUUUUACCUAUCAUUCACCCUCACCAUUCCAGUCUUGCUCCUACCCUGUAUGAGAUCAUAAUUAUUGAUGCGCUCAGCCAAUCGAGUGGCAAUCACAGCUGCUCCAAUAAAAAUCUCCUUAUAUUUUUAUUAUUAUUAUUUUAUUACUUAUAUAGCGCCAUAACAUUCUGUAGCGCUGUACAAUGCAUCUCUAUGUAAAGCAUUUGGUGUGAUCAGGCCAGGGCCAUCUCCAGUGUGUGUGUGUGUGUGUGUGUGUGAAGUCAGAUGUAAGAUAAAAUGUGGGGCCAUUUUUUUAUUUUUCCUUUACUUAGGAAACAUUUUGAUAUUAAUUUUGGCAAGUGCAGCCAAUUGGACGCCUAUCAAUCCAGGAGGCAUUGAAAAGUUUUUGGUGAUCGGCUUUGCACAUCCUUUGAAGCGUGAACUUUAAUUUUAGCAGUCCAUUGGCUGCUGAUUGACAGCCUUCCAGGCAGAGGGUAGCUUUGCACCUUGAGUGGUUCUCACAGACUGCGGGGACAGCUAGGGUGUUUGUGGACACACACACACAUAACACACCAUGGUUGUUGCAUAAUACAUAUACCACAGGGGCUGUAUUGUGUGAAGUAGAUAAGAACUGUAGGUUGUGCCGAGGGGAAUUAAGGUUGUAGUGUGUGAAUGGGGCAGUUGUGGGUGCAUUGGAGGGAUGGGGAUGUUGUGGGUGCAGGGGAGAAAUUUGGGCUGCAGAGAGUGCGGGGGGAUAUGUGCAAUUGUGGAUGUGGUAGAGGGAUGUCAAGGCUGUAGUAGAUGUAGGUGGUGGAUAGGUACAGGUGAAGGUGGGAUAGAUAUUGUAGUGGGUGCAGGGGGGCUAUAGUGGGUGCAGUUUACGGAUAGAGGCUGUAAAUGUGGGGGGAUAGGGUAGCAAUAAUAAAAAACAAUAAUAAUAACUUCAUGUUCUCCUCUGUUCUUCUUACCUUUGGCCAGUAAGCUCCGCCAUUGUGCUAUGUUAAAACGUUGCCAUUGCAACUCAUAGCAAUACUCCGAACUGCCGAUCUUGUGAGAUAAAUAUUUUGCACCAGGUCUGAGAUAUAGGCUAUAGUCUAAUGAGUCCCCCCUCUUCUGCAGUAAGGUAUCCUGAGCCAAUCAGGGCAAUCUUGGAUAAUUAGCUUGUUAGUGCUGACAGUGGGAAAAUAGUACUUAAAAUUAUCAUUCAACUUGCUGGAUACAUUCGAUCCCAAAUUUAUUUAAAAUCGGUAAUUUGUGGAUCUUCUGAGUCCUAUACUUUGUAUAUGUGCACAAAUUUUAAUCCAGACAGUGGCGAUUACUGGGGAUUCGCUUGGGCUAACCGACUACAUUUGGCUUGGAGUAAAUAUGAGAAUUGUCAAUGCGGCCACAAAAAAGACAUUUCCAACAGAUUCUGUCCACCCGACAAAUUCUGGUGUUAGAGAAUAUCCCCGUAAAUUGUAUCCGAGAAAGACAAGAUAGAUUAUGUAGUCAGACAGACAAAUAGAUAGAUUAGAUAGCUAGAGGAUAUAAAAACCUUUCCACAAAUUACACAAUACAAUACACAAAGAUUACAGGAAAGAAAAUCCUUGCAAAAUUACAGCGAUUAAGUGAUUAUUAUUUGAUUUUUUUUCUUUUUUAAAUCUGAGCAUUGCACUAUACAAAUGGUUAGCAGAUGUGCAGUUAUUUCAAUAUUUAUAAAACAUAACCUGACACGUCUGGGCUUCAGCUCAGCUCUGUACCACAACAACAUUUGUGGGGAUAAUGUAUCUUACCAAACAUCAUGCGCAGAAAGCAUUAAGGGGAAUGACUGAAAAUCAUGCCAGGUCAAGAGCAUGGCCACAGGGAACAUCUGUGCUUCCAAAAGCUGUAGGUGCAAAUAUGUGAAUGUAUGUUAUAAUAAAUAUGUAAAUCACUGCAGAGCUAAGCAUUUGCAAGCCUUAAGAAGCACCAGGUGGUGAUUAAAAAGUAAGAAGUUGUAUUAUGUAUGACAGGCCCCUUUUAUGACCCUUUUGAGGGCUUUGAAACAGAAGCUCAUAUACUGCGAAAACACGUCAUGUUAUUAAAACCAAACAAUGACAUUAAAGAACAGACUCACCAGCUAUUACUGAAAUAGGGAAUAUUUUGCCCACAAUGAAGUUCAAUCCAUAUAAAAAUGAUUGUACUGAGGCAAUUAAAUGCUAAGUAAGGGUAACAAAUAAUUUGAUUUGUUACCUGCAAGUUAUUUUAUAUGUAUGGCUAGCAAAAGGAAAUUUUUAUAACAUACUUCAGGACAGGGUUAUUGAAAAACAUUAAAAAACGUGUUUAUUAACGUAAAGUGAAUUUCCACUACCAAAAGUUUAAAAAUCUCUGUUUAGUAGAUAUACCUUCAAUAAAAGAAUGCACGCAUUCAUAGAAUGUGACGGCAGAUAAGAACCAUUCGGCCCAACUAGUCUGCCCAAUUUUCUAAAUACUUUCAUUAGUCCCUGGCCUUAUCUUAUAGUUAGGAUAGCCUUAUGCCUAUCCCACGCAUGCUUAAACUCCUUUACUGUGUUAACCUCUACCACUUCAGCUGGAAGGCUAUUCCAUGCAUCCACUACCCUCUCAGUAAAGUAAUACUUCCUGAUAUUAUUUUUAAACCUUUGUCCCUCUAAUUUAAGACUAUGUCCUCUUGUUGUGGUAGUUUUUUCUUCUUUUAAAUAUAGUCUCCUCCUUUACUGUGUUGAUUCCCUUUAUAUAUUUAAAUGUUUCUAUCAUAUCCCCCCCGUCUCAUCUUUCCUCCAAGCUAUACAUGUUAAGAUCCUUUAACCUUUCCUGGUAAGUUUUAUCCUGCAAUCCAUGAACCAGUUUAGUAGCCCUUCUCUGAACCUCUCUAAAGUAUCAAUAUCCUUCUGAAGAUACGGUCUCCAGUACUGCGUACAAUACUCCAAGUGAGGUCUCACCAGUGUUCUGUACAAUGGCAUGAGCACUUCCCUCUUUCUACUGCUAAUACCUCUCCCUAUACAACCAAGCAUUCUGCUAGCAUUUCCUGCUGCUCUAUUACAUUGUCUGCCUACCUUUAAGUCAUCAGAAAUAAUCACCCCUAAAUCCCUUUCCUCAGAUGUUGAGGUUAGGACUCUAUGAAAUAUUAUGUACUCUGCCCUUGGGUUUUUACGUCCAAGAUGCAUUAUCUUGCACUUAUCCACAUUAAAUGUCAGUUGCCACAAUUCUGACCAUUUUUCAAGUUUAACUAAAUCAUUUGCCAUUUGGCUUAUCCCUCCUGGAACAUCAACCCUGUUACAUAUCUUAGUAUCAUCAGCAAAAAGACAUACCUUACCAUCAAGACCUUCUGCAAUAUUACUAAUAAAAAUACUAAAGAGAAUGGGUCCAAGUACAGAUCCCUGAGGUACCCCACUGGUGAAAAGCCCAAGCUUCGAAUAUACUCCAUUGACUACAACCCUCUGCCUGUCACUCAGCCACUGCCUUACCCAUUCAACAAUAUUGGAAUCCAAACUUAAAUAUUGCAGUUUAUUGAUAAGCCUUCUAUGUGCAACAGUGUCAAAAGCCUUACUGAAAUCUAGGUAAGCAAUGUCUACUGCACCACCCUGAUCUGUAAUUUUAGUUACCCAAUCAAUAAGAUUAGUUUGGCAUGAUCUCCCUGAAGUAAACACAUGUUGUCUCUGAUUUUGAAAUCCAUGUGUUUUUAGAUGUUCAGCAAUCCUAUCCUUUAACAUGGUUUCCAUCACUUUCCUCACUACUGAAGAAAGACUUACUGGCCUGUAGUUGCCCGACUCCUCCCUAUUACCUUUCUUGUGAAUGGGCACAACAUUCGCUAACUUACAAUCUUCUGGGACUACUCCUGUUAAUAAUGAUUGGUUAAAUAAAUCUGUUAAUGGUUUUGCUAGUACACCACUAAGCUCUUUUAAUAGCUUUGGGUGUAUUCCAUCAGGUCCCAUUGACUUAUUUGUCUUUACUUUUGACAGUUGAAAUAGAACCUCUUCCUCUGUAAACUCAUGUGUAAUAAAUGACUCAUUUAUCCUUUUCCUUAACUGAGGUCCCUUUCCUUCAUUUUCAUCUGUAAAUAUCGAACAAAAAUAUUAAUUGAGGCAGUCAGCUAGACCUUUAUCCUCUUCUACAUACCUUCCUUUUUGGUUAGUUUAUAAAACUGCAAUUUUUUGUCAAAUGAAAAGAAGAGGACACAUUCUUCACACAUAAGCACUUAAAGGACCACUAUAGGCACCCAGACCACUUCAGCUCAAUGAAGUGGUCUGGGUGCCAGGUCCCUCUAGUUUUAACCCUACAGCUGAAAACAAUCCAGCAUCUAGUGGCUGUCUCACUGACAGCCGCUAUAGACGCUUCCGCAAUUCUCACUGUGAAAAUCACAGUAAGAAGACGCUGGAUGUCCAAAGGAAAGCAUUGAGUAAUGUUUUCCUAUGGGCAGUUUGAAUGCGCGCACGGCUUUUGCCGCGCAUGCACAUUCGGAGCUGACCUCAGCGCAGAGGAAACCCGGCGCUGGAAAAAGGUAAGUGUCUGAAGGGGAUUUAACCCCUUCAGCCCAGCGGGAUGGGGGCCCUAAUUACCUUAUAGUGCCAGGAAAACAAUUUUGUUUUCCUGGCACUAUAGUGGUUCUUUAAGCAAGCUAAAGUGCUUUAAGUAUUUAAAGUGUACCUUUAGGGACAAAUGCACCUGGCACUGAUUAUAAAUAAUAAUUGCACACACUGCAAUAGGGUAAUAUGAUGGUUUAUUCUGCCAUCAAAUGUGAAGGCCAGUUCAUGUUUGAUGGCUGAGUAAACCACUAUUACUAACUAUUGCUGUGUGCUGAGGUUUUUUUUGUAUGCUUUGGUCCAGUGAACAAGGCACCAAAGAUAAUGCGUCCUUAUUGACCCACAGGUAUAGUUUGCAUUUCAGUUUUAAACCAAAACAAAAUAUCUGCAGUUAGCACUACUAUGGUAGCUAACUCAAUCUGAGAACGGGUUAACUCCAUGAAGGGGACCAAUGUAAACAAAUAAUUAAAACAUAUUUAAUUUAUUAUGUAUGUUAUAUAAUGUAUCUAUAUUACUGAAUUCAUAAUAAGUCACCCGUUGUCUGCUGCCUGUUUGUACUGUUAGUGGACAACUAGAAGAAUUUUGUAAUUUUGCCUGAAAAAAACAAAACAAAUGAAUUUACUUUGUGAUUUGCUCAAGAUAAAUCAGGUGUUCUAAUUGAAAUUCAAUGUUUGAUAAAUAUGCAUAUCCUAGAUUUUCUAUAGGAUUUACUUGUGAGAAAUAAUGAUUCUAAAGUGGACACUGGAUGGUACAGGAUGACAUUGUCUCAUUUGGCUUAACCCCUUAAGGACGGAGCCAAAUGUACACGUUGUGAACAAAACAAAAUGUAAACAAAACCUGGCAUUUGCGCUACAUGUCUGUCCAACCGUAAUACACCUCUUUCAUAGUAAAUGCACCCACCCUUAUUAUAUAUCAUUUUAUUCAGGGGAAACAGGGCUUUCAUUUAAUAUCAAAUAUUUAGCUAUGAAACAUAAUUUAAUGUGAAAAAAAUGGGAGAAAAUACGAUUUAUUUGGAUUUUUUAGUUCUACAUGACAUUUUAACGGUCAGUGUCAUAAUACUGUUUGCUUUUACUGCAAUAAAAUACACAUAUUUGUAUUCAGCAAAGUCUCACGUAUAAAACAGUACCCCCUAUGUACAGGUUUUAUGGCGUUUUGGGAAGUUACAGGGUCAAAUAUAGCAUGUUACAUUUGAAAUUGAAAUUCGCCAGAUUGGUUACGUUGCCUUUGAGACUGUAUAGUAGCCAGGGAAUGAAAUUUACACCCAUAAUGGCAUACCAUUUGCAAUAGUAGACAACCCAAGGUAUUGCAAAUGGGGUAUGUCCAGUCUUUUUUAGUAGCCAUUUGGUCACAAACACUGGCCAAAGUUAGCGUUAGUAUUUGUUUGUGUGUGAAAAAUGCAAAAAGCGCCAAUUUUGGCCAGUGUUUGUGACUAAGUGGCUACUAAAAAAGACUGGACAUACCCUGUUUGCAAUACCUUGGGUUGUCUACUAUUGCAAAUGGUAUGCCAUCAUAGGGGUAAUUUUCAUUCUUGGGCUACCAUAGGGUCUCAAAGGCAACGUAACCAAUCUGGCAAAUUUUAAUGUGAAAAAAAUGAAACACAAGCCUUAUAUUUGACGCUGUAACUUUUGAAAACACCAUAAAACCUGUACAUGAGGGGUACUGUUGUACUCGGGAGACUUCACUGAACACAAAUAUUUGUGUUUCAAAACAGUAAAAAGUAUCAUAGCAAUAAUAUUGUCCGUUUAAUGCUGUUUGUGCGUGAAAAAUGCAAAAAACUUCACUUUACUGGCGAUAUCAUCGUUGUAAUACAUUUUACUGUUUUGAAACACUAAUAUUUGUGUUCAGCGAAGUCUCCCGAGUAGAACAGUACCCCCCAUGUACAGGUUUUAUGGUGUCUCGGAAAGUUAUAGGGUUAAAUAUAGUGCUAGCAAAUUAAAUUCCUUUUACUUUCGGCAUGGGUUGUCAUGCAGGUCCUGCUAAUUGUAAUUAAUUAAGAUACCUAAUUAUGUAAAAAUAUUACAUAAAUAUAUAUGUAGAAUCAAUAUAUGUAUAUAUAUACGUAUGUGUAUAUAUAUGUAUAUAUCUAUAUAAUUUUUUUAAAUAUUUUUAUUUAUAUAUAGGUAUAUAUAUAUAGUGAUAUAUACGUAUAUAUUUAUGUGUAUAGAUAUAUAUAUUAUUUCGUUCUAUGUGUAUUUUGAUAUAUAUAUAUAUAUAUUAAUUUCACAAUACAGUUAGAACGAAAUAACACACAUCUAUAUAUUUUUUAAUUAUUCAUUUUUAAUUAUUUUUGUAAUUUUAUUUUUUAACGUAUUUACAUUUUAAUUUUUUUUAUAAUAUAUAUAAAUAUAUAUAUAACAAUAAUUAUAUAUAUAUUUAAUCAGUAUCAGUCUACGUGUAAUUUGAUAUUAAUAUAUAUAUAUAAUUAUAUAUAUAUUAAUAGUAAAAUACACCUAGACACUGUACAUGUGUGUAUGUAUAUGUGUAUAUAUAUACUUUGAUCAUAUAUAUAUAAUAUAUAUAUAUGAUCUAAGUAUAUAUAAUUUAAUUUUUUUACACUUUUAACUUAUUUUACUUUUAUUUUCAGCCAGCAGGGGGACCCCCUGUAAUUACAGGCAGCCCCCCUGCUGGCAAUACAGAAGCCAGCUAUACCCAGCCAUGUGAUUGUGGGGUCCUCGCUAGGACCCCACUCUCACACGGCCGGGGGGCUUCCUGGAGGACGGUCGUGCCGUGGGGGGCUCCCUGGGAGCCCCCCCACCGCGAUCGCCGGCGUGGGACCGCCGGCGACCGGGUAAGUACAGAAAGACCGGAGGGCGUACUAUUACGCCCGGCGGCGUUUAGAGCCGCCUAUUAGAGGACGUAAUAGUACGCCCUGCGGUCUUAAGGGGUUAAAUUACCAUAUUGUUCUGUACUUGUCCUAAAGGAACACUCCAAAAAUAUAAAGCACUUCAGCAAGUUAAAGUGCUUUAGAUUAUUGGAGUGUUCCUUUAUGUGUAAAAAUCUUUAUAUUUUACAAAAAGUGCAGAUUUCAAUAGAAAAUGGCACUUUUAUAAGUUAAUCUUGUUACAGCCACUGCUUGGCAAGAGACAACAGAUCCUGUUACUUCAAUAGUUAGUUUAGUUAGCUUGACCAGAGCACCUGAAUUGCAUUGGGAAGUAUAUGAUUGGACAGUCACAGAAUGUAUGGAGUGGGGAAAAAGUGGGGAGCUCGCAAAGGCUGCAGUAAAGAGAUCAGAAGAGAUAUGCAACUUUUGCAAGCUGUUUUUAUAAAUGCCUCCAAUGAAAAAAUGCAUAAUUAAAUUCAUGUAUGUUUUAAUUUUUGAGUAUAUCUCCUAAAUAGUGAUGAUUUUUUUUGUUAUUAUUAAGGCAGUGGAGUGUCCCUUUAAGAAAAUACGAGUGACAAAUUUUAAAACUCUACCCCAUUUACACCAUCAUAUCCAUGCCUAAUGUUAGGUAUAUUAAAUAUUAAAAGAAAGCCAUUUCUGUACUUUAAAGAAACAAUAUAUAAUAUGUAUGGGGUCACUGAAAGAGAAACCCUUACAUUACGGUUGAAUAAACACAUAGUGCAAAUUCUAGGUUUUGUUUUGGUUCUGAUCCUGGACCAUUGCCCUUGUCCAUAAGAGGUUUUUUUUUUAAAAAAAAUGGUCCUUAGUGGAUAACCUUGACAUUGAUAUUGAUAGUGCUGUAUGGAGGCAUGUAAACUUAGGGCUGUACCAUUAGUGGGAGUUAGCCACACUGGUGCCUGCUGGCUAAUGGGUCCCAUCGAGUGGCCCAUGCACUUAGAACCACACGAUGGCCAUCUUUGACUAGGGCCCCGUUUAGACACCGUGAUCGGGCACUCUGGUCUGUGAGAAGCCACAGUGCUGGGAGGAAGGGAACACAAAUCACUUCCUCCUAGUGUACAAACGAGCAGCGCAGGAGAGAGAGACAGCUGAGGACCAGAGAGGAGGGAGUCUAAGAGCCAGGACCAGAAGAAGGAAAACCUAGCCCAGACUCCCAUCACACUCAGCCAGAUGCCACAGGACCCCCAGAAAAGCUUUCCUGCACAAUAAAGGCAUGGAAGCAGGGGGUGGCUAAAAAAAUAUUAUGUCAUCUUUGAAUGUAAAUGUCUGUAAAUGUGUUAUUUGUAUAUGUAUUAUGUGUGUGUGUAUAUAUGUGAGGAAGGCUGAACUUGAUGGACACAAGUCUCUUUUCAGCUAUGUAACUAUAUAUAUAUAUAUGUGAUAUAUGCUAUGUGUUAUGUGUAUUUGUUUUGUGUGUGUAUUUGUGUUAUCUGUGUAUGUGUAUAUUGUCAGGAUUACAGAAUGAUCCAGCACGUAGAAUUGUGUAACACAGAGGACUGAUAGGUAACGUAUACCGGACCUUAGAAUGGCCGGACUAACGUACCAAAGAAUAGUCAGGAAUAGCCGAGGUCAAGGGAAACAGAAAGAGACACAGCGAUAAGGAAAAGCCAGGAGUCAGGGAUGCCAGAAAACAGGGAAGUCAAAAACAAUGCCAAAGUCAAAUAACCAGAAUAACCAGAAUCAAUAACGCGCUCUCGGACAACCACAAGGGAAACCACGACAGGGCACUGAGCAAGAUGAGAACUGGGCCUAAAUACCCCUCCUCUAGGUCUGAUAGGCUGUAACCGGCCUUUGACCCCAAAGGCAGUUACCAGAUCCCAUUUGCAUAAUUGCUGCUCAGCAUUAACCCUUCUGUGGAUUUGGUUGUUGCUCGGCACAACUUUUCCUGUGUGGACAGUAAAUGUCAUUAACCACAUUUUGGUAAGCGGAUGAAUACGUGACAUUACCCCCCACCUGAAGACCGCCCACCGGGCGGGCAAGACCAGGUUUGAGAGGAAAUUUGGCGUGAAAAUAGCGAAUCUUGCGGCCAGCAUGUAUAUCAGAUGCCGGAACCCAAGAACGAUCGGCUGGUCCAUAACCUUUCCAAUCAACCAAGUACUGUAAAGUGCCCUGAGAAAACCUGGAAUCAAUUAUGCAGGAGACAUCAUACUCUUCCUGUCCAGAAACAACUAAGGGAGGAGGAGGGACACUUGAGACAGUAUAUUUAUUGCAAUCAAGAGGUUUGAGCAAGGACACAUUAGGAAUUUUCAAGGAGGCCGGAAGGGCCAGAGAGUACGUAACAGGAUUGCUCCUACGAAGGACACGGAAAGGUCCAAGGAACCUAGGAGAAAAUUUCAUGCUAGGGACUUUGAGCCUGAUGUUAUGAGAAGAUAACCAAACCCUCUCACCCACUUGGUAAACAGGGUUGGCACCUCAACGUUUAUCAGCAAAAUGCUUGAAACGGUCAGCAGCAGUACCCAGAGCAGAUUGAACUUUAUCCCAGGUAUCACGGAUGGAAGCCAGACGGUCAUCCAAAGCAGGAAUAGCCGUGUCAGAAAAAACAGCAGGUAGGACAGUAGGAUGCCGGCCAUUAUUAACAAAAAAUGGACUAUGCCCAGAGGAGUCAUGGUCAGCCUUGUUCCUAGCAAACUCGGCCCAUGGUAAUUAUUUGGACCAAUUGUCUUGAGUUCUAUUACCGAAACAACGCAAGUAUAACUCCAAAGACUGGUUAGCCCUCUCAGCUGUACCAUUAGUCUGGGGGUGGUAAGAGGAUGAAAAAGACAGUUCAAUCCCCAACUGUUUAUUGAAAGCCCUCCAAAACCGGGAUACAAACUGAGAACCUCUAUCAGAUAAAAUAUUGUGAGGNNNNNNNNNNNNNNNNNNNNNNNNNNNNNNNNNNNNNNNNNNNNNNNNNNNNNNNNNNNNNNNNNNNNNNNNNNNNNNNNNNNNNNNNNNNNNNNNNNNNACCUCCCUCACAGUAUAUCACCUCCCUCUCAGUAUUACCCCCUCCCACACACUAUCGCCCCUAUAUCCCACACACUAUCACCCCCUCCCUCACCAGAUCACCCCUUCCACACACACACACACAAACUGUCACCACCUCACACACACAGUAUCAUCCCCUUCACACACAGUCACUCUCCCUUAUACACACUGUCACCCCUACAAUGUGGUGUCACCAUACUCAUACACUGUCACAUUCCCACACAUUGUCACCCGCCCUCACACUCUCACCCCCUCCACACUUUCAGCCCUUUCAUGCAUCCACACUCUCACUAACCACUCCUAGUCCUGUUAAUCUUACCCCCUCCAAACUCACCUGCCCUCUCUUUGCCACACUCAUUAACCCCCUUAAUCCUGGCACACUCCUUCCUUAAACCAUGCCACAUUCACCCUUCACUCCAAAACUGUAAUACUCACCCCACCCCAACUAUGCCACACUUACCGUCACUUAAAUCUUAAAUUUUCAUUUUUGUUUUCGAGAACCCCUUCACACCAGUACUUAUUUAUACACGACUGCCGGGCUAUGUGACCAUACCCCACAAUUGUGUAUAAAUGAUUGGCAUAAUUGCAAAUUAAAUUUAUUUAUUGCAAAUUAAUUUUGUUUGCAAAAUGUGCUACAAUUAUAGCCAGAGAGCUCACAAUGCAGGGGCACAAGAAGCUCUGACAUUGCAAGCUUCUGAACAAUGAAUGCAGAGACUGACUCUCUGUAUCCAGUGCUGCAAGCACGCCUCUCGAUAUAGCAAAUGCUCCUUACACUUAUACAAAAUACAACCCUAUUAUUUUAUACUUUGGGUGUAAGUGGGGCCUCAUGCUUGAAGUUCGCCUAAGGCCUCAUAAAGUCUAGAGCCGCCUCUGCCAGUACUGCGUACAAUACUCCAAGUGAGGUCUCACCAGUGUUCUGUACAAUGGCAUGAGCACUUCCCUCUUUCUACUGCUAAUACCUCUCCCUAUACAACCAAGCAUUCUGCUAGCAUUUCCUGCUGCUCUAUUACAUUGUCUGCCUACCUUAAGUCAUCAGAAAUAAUCACCCCUAAAUCCCUUUCCUCAGAUGUUGAGGUUAGGACUCUAUCAAAUAUUCUGUACUCUGCCCUUGGGUUUUUACGUCCAAGAUACAUUAUCUUGCACUUAUCCACAUUAAAAUGUCAGUUGCCACAAUUCUGACCAUUUUUCUAGUUUACCUAAAUCAUUUGCCAUUUGGCUUAUCCCUCCUGGAACAUCAACCCUGUUACAUAUCUUAGUAUCAUCAGCAAAAAGACAUACCUUACCAUCAAGACCUUCUGCAAUAUUACUAAUAAAAAUACUAAAGAGAAUGGGUCCAAGUACAGAUCCCUGAGGUACCCCACUGGUGAAAAGCCCAAGCUUCGAAUAUACUCCAUUGACUACAACCCUCUGCCUGUCACUCAGCCACUGCCUUACCCAUUCAACAAUAUUGGAAUCCAAACUUAAAUAUUGCAGUUUAUUGAUAAGCCUUCUAUGUGCAACAGUGUCAAAAGCCUUACUGAAAUCUAGGUAAGCAAUGUCUACUGCACCACCCUGAUCUAUAAUUUUAGUUACCCAAUCAAUAAGAUUAGUUUGGCAUGAUCUCCCUGAAGUAAACCCAUGUUGUCUCUGAUUUUGAAAUCCAUGUGUUUUUAGAUGUUCAGCAAUCCUAUCCUUUAACAUGGUUUCCAUCACUUUCCCCACUACUGAAGUAAGGCUUACUGGCCUAUAGUUGCCCCACUCCUCCCUAUUACCUUUCUUGUAAAUGGGCACAACAUUCGCUAACUUCCAAUCUUCUGGGACUACUCCUGUUAACAAUGAUUGGUUAAAUAAAUCUGUUAAUGGUUUUGCUAGUACACCACUAAGCUCUUUUAAUAGCUUUGGGUGUAUUCCAUCAGGUCCCAUUGACUUAUUUGUCUUUACUUUUGACAGUUGAAAUAGAACCUCUUCCUCUGUAAACUCAUGUGUAAUAAAUGUCUCAUUUAUCCUUUUCCUUAACUGAGGUCCCUUUCCUUCAUUUUCAUCUGUAAAUAUCGAACAAAAAUAUUAAUUGAGGCAGUCAGUUAGACCUUUAUCCUCUUCUACAUACCUUCCUUUUUGGUUAGUUUAUAAAACUGCAAUUUGUUGUCAAAUGAAAAGAAAAGGACACAUUCUUCACACAUAAGCACUUAAAGGACCACUAUAGGCACCCAGACCACUUCAGCUCAAUGAAGUGGUCUGGGUGCCAGGUCCCUCUAGUUUUAACCCUGCAGCUGAAAACAAUCCAGCCUCUAGUGGCUGUCUCACUGACAGCCGCUAUAGACGCUUCCGCAAUUCUCACUGUGAAAAUCACAGUAAGAAGACGCUGGAUGUCCAAAGGAAAGCAUUGAGUAAUGUUUUCCUAUGGGCAGUUUGAAUGCGCGCACGGCUCUUGCCGCGCAUGCACAUUCGGAGCUGACCUCAGCGCAGAGGAAACCCGGCGUUGGAAAAAGGUAAGUGUCUGAAGGGGAUUUAACCCCUUCAGCCCAGCGGGAUGGGGGCCCUAAUUACCUUAUAGUGCCAGGAAAACAAGAAUAGUCAGGAAUAGCCGAGGUCAAGGGAAACAGAAAGAGACACAACGUUAAGGAAAAGCCAGGAGUCAGGGAUGCCAGAAAACAGGGAAGUCAAAAACAAUGCCAAAGUCAAAUAACCAGAAUAAAUAACGCGCUCUCGGACAACCACAAGGGAAACCACGACAAGGCACUGAGCAAGAUGAGAACUGGGCCUAAAUACCCCUCCUCUAGGUCUGAUAGGCUGUAACCGGCCUUUGACCCCAAAGGCAGUUACCAGAUCCCAUUUGCAUAAUUGCUGCUCAGCAUUAACCCUUCUGUGGAUUUGGUUGUUGCUCGGCACAACUGUUCCUGUGUGGACAGUAAAUGUCAUUAACCACAUUUUGGUAAGCGGAUGAAUACGUGACAUUACCCCCCACCUGAAGACCCAGAGGCAGAGAUAUUAUAUCCCAAAAACUGUACUUCAGAUUGGUCAAAGAUGCAUUUUUCUAAUUUACAAUAAAGUUGAUUCUUUAACAAGGUCUGCAGAACUUGUCUAACGUGAUCGUGGUGAGUCUGAAUGUCAGGAGAAUAAAUAAGGAUAUCAUCCAGAUAGACCAAGACAAACGAGUAAAUGUAAUCCCUGAGUACAUCAUUUAUGAAAUCUUGGAAAACCGCUGGAGCAUUGCACAACUCGAAUGGCAUCACUAGAUAUUCAUAGUGUCCACUUCUGGUAUUAAAUGCAGUCUUCCACUCAUGGUUUUCCUUGAUUCUCACUAAAUUGUGAGCACUUCUAAGAUCAAGCUUAGUAAAUACUUUAGCACCUUGGAGUCUAUCAAAUAAUUCAGCAAUAAGAGGAAUGGGGUAGGCGUUCUUAAUGGUGAUUUUGUUCAAUGCCCUGUAAUCGAUACAUGGGCGCAACUCAUCGUCCUUUUUAGAUACAAAAAAGAAUCCUGCCCCAGCAGACGAGGAUGAUUUUCGUAUGUGGCCUUUAUUCAAUGAAUCCUUAAUAUAUUCCUCCAUUUUUCUACUCUCCUGAGUUGACAGAGCAUAGACUGCUCCCUUAGGUGGCAUAGCGCCAGGUAGUAAAUUAAUGGAACAGUCAUAAGGUCUGUGAGGAGGUAGCGUAUUCGACUGAGUUUUGCUGAAUACUUCUUUAAUGUCUUGGUACUGUAUAGGGAUUUCCAGGUUUUGAGGUGUACUAGUGGGUAAUCCAAUAGUGCCCACUCUUUUGACAAGAUUCAAUAUACACCUUUCAUAACAAUCCUUACCCCAUUCUAAUAUUUCCCCAUUAGCCCAGUCAAUAUGAGGGUAAUGCUUGUUAAGCCAUGGAAAGCCUAAUAUGAUCGGACAGGAAGGGGAUGCAAUAACCUGAAAUAUAAUCUCUUCCUUAUGUAAGGCACCAAUGGACAAAUUAAUGGGUAAGGUUUCGUGUGUAAUCAAUGGUUGUGAGAGUGGUCUCCCAUCAAUAACCUCAACAGCUAGGGGUGAUAGUCUCUCCUUGAUAGGUAUAGUAUUACCUUUAACAAAUUGAACGUCUUUGAAGUUUCCAGCGGCACCUGAAUCCAUCAGGGCUUUGCAUGAAAAGUUCUUAUUUUCAAAAGCAAUAGUAAUAUCAAGGAGAAACCUAUUUUUAUCCAUUCCAGAGGACGUUUCCAUUACACCUAAGACCUGUCCCCUUAAGGUGACAUUUACUGUCCACACAGGAAAAGUUGUGCCGAGCAACAACCAAAUCCACAGAAGGGUUAAUGCUGAGCAGCAAUUAUGCAAAUGGGAUCUGGUAGUUUUCCGGACGUAUGGGACAAUUGUUUCUCAUAUGUCCUUUUCUACCGCAGUAUAGACAUAGGCCUUCUUUUCUCCUAUAUUGUCUUUCUGCUUCCGACAGUCUAGUGACCCCCAACUCCAUGGGUUCGGACUGUACAGGAAAUUCAGGGACAAUAGGUUUGGAGAAGUGGGGUGCUAAAGGCAUAUUCAUGUGUCUGGUCUUGUUUCUAGUAGCUUCUCUGGUUCUCAAUCUAUUAUCAAUUUGCAUGACAAAUGUGAUAAAUUCAUUAAGUUUUUUUGGGUAAGUCUUUGGCGGCAAUCUCAUCUAGCAUAGUUUCAGAUAGUCCCUUUUUAAAUGCAGAGAUUAACCCGCUAUUAGUCCAGUCUACCUCGGAAGCUAGGGUACGAAAUUCUAUGGCAUACUCUAAGAUAGACCGGUUCCCUUGUCUGAUAUGCAUCAGGGCAGUAGAGGCGUCUUCCUCCCUGCCUAAUGGUUCAAACGUAAGUUUAAAUUCUGUAAUAAACUCCUGGUAAUUGUGUGCCACACUCCUAUUACUCUCCCAUAAUGGAUUGGCCCAAGUUAAAGCUUUACCUUUUAAUUGAUUCAUCAGGUAACCAAUUUUAGCUCUAUCUGUGGGAAAAGAUCCCGGUGAGGCCUCCUUUGGUUAAGGAAUCCCCGGCAUUCUUGGAAAUUACCAUCAAAAUGCAGAGGAGGAGAUAGAGAGAUAGUUGGUACCUUGUAUACUAUAGGCGGAGGUGACACAGUAGGAUCAGCCGCAGGUUGCAGAUGUGCUGUACGAGUAAGAAGCAUACUGAAAGCCUGGGCGAAUUGAUCCAAGCGGUGAUCAUUAUCCUCCAGUUUCCUUUCGUAAGCAGCUAUGUGCUUACACAAUUCUACAGGAUCUAUGGCCAUGUCGUAAUGUCAGGAUUACAGAAUGAACCAGCACGUAGAAUUGUGUAACAGAGGACUGAUAGGUAACGUAUACCAGACCUUAGAAUGGCCGUACUAACGUACCAAAGAAUAGUCAGGAAUAGCCGAGGUCAAGAGAAACAGAAAGAUACACAACGAUAAGGAUAGACCAGGAGUCAGGGAUGCCAGAAAACAGGGAAGUCAAAAACAAUGCCAAAGUCAAAUAACCAGAAUCAAUAACACGCUCUCGGACAACCACAAGGGAAACCACGACAGGGCACUGAGCAGGAUGAGAACUGGGCCUAAAUACCCCUCUUCUAGGUCUGAUAGGCUGUAACCGGCCUUUGACCCCCAAAGGCAGUUACCAGAUCCCAUUUGCAUAAUUGCUGCUCAGCAUUAACCCUUCUGUGGAUUUGGUUGUUGCUCGGCACAACUUUUCCUGUGUGGACAGUAAAUGUCAUUAACCACAUUUUUGUAAGCGGAUUAAAACGUGACAUAUAUGUGUUCUUUGUGUUUGUGUUGUGCGAUCUGUGAAACCUGUGUGUGUGUAUGUUAUGUGUGUAUGUGUUGUGUGUGUGCCUUAACUGUGUGCAUGUGUUAUCUAUGUAUAUAUGUGUGUUAUUUGUUUAUGUGUUAUGUGUGUAUAUGUGUGAUCUGUGUAAUCUGUGUGUGGGUGCAUGUGUUAACUGUGUGUGUAUGUAUUUGUAUGUGUGUUACUGUGUGUCUGUGGGUGUGUGUAUCUGUGUGUGUAAGGGUGUGUCUAUGUAUCUGCAUGUCUGUACCUGUGUAUCUGUACGUCUGUCAGCAUGCAUGUCUGUGUAUCUGCAAGUGUGUCUGUGUGUGUGCAUUAUUACUUUUUAUUAUUUUUAGCGUUUAUAUAGCGCCAACAUCAGUUUCUCGCAGAUGAGGGUGAGGCCAAACUGUAAACAGUGACUGGGGGGAGCAGAUUGCACUAUGGCCCCUCUCUCACCUGUCACCUGGGAAAGACUACCCCCUGGCGUGAAACAGUUAAUAAACAAUAUAGAUUUGAUCAUUGGAGGAAGUAGUAGACUUCAAUUAAACAUAAUUACUUCUAUGAUGGGAGUAAAAGAUCACAAACUAAGUGUUCAGAUGAAGGGAUAAGUAAGGUUAAAGUAAGCAAUGUUGAAACUCAAAGGUACAUCUAGUUUAUACAGAUAAAGAUAGUUAAAGUGACACUAUAGUCACCAGAACAACUACAGUUUAAUUUAUCUGCUCUGGUGAUUACAAUCAUUCCCUUUAGGCCUCUUGCAGUAAACACUGUUUUUUUUUCCAGAGAAAAGGGAGUGCUUUCAUUACAGCCUAGGGAUACCUCUACUAGCCACUUCUCAGAUGGUCACUAGAGAUGUUUCUUGGGGCAGUUUCUUGGGGCAUGUUUCUUACACCCUCUGCAUGGAGAUACUAAGCUUUCCUCAUACAGAUGCAUUGAUUCAGUGACUUGUGCUGACUCUGCCCCCAAUCUGCCUCCUUGACAAGCUCAGCCAAUCCAAACAUUUCCUAUGGGAAAGCAUUGUGAUUGGCUCAGCCCACCACUUCUGAUGAUGUCACCCAAGCAGGCAGAUCAGGGGCAGAGCCAGCAGCAGCAGAGUGGGUGAAAGGUAGGAUUUUACAAUAUUUAGAAGGGCAAGGGUGGUGGGUGAGGGGAGGACAGUGGGGCUAGACGGUGUUUAUAACAACUUAAGGUCAGGAAUACAUGUUUUCAUUAAUGACCCUAUAGUAUUCCUUUAAAUAAUUAACAGGUAGUCAAAGUUAACAAGAAAAUCCUGGUGAUGAAUAAAAAACAUUUUAGAUUAUUAUACAAGACAAAAAAAGUGGGAAGUUAGGUCAAAUCCAUUUUUAUCAGAUUACUUGGCAAGCAAACCAAUGGGAUCAAAAAAGUAAGAUAAACCUAGAUAACAGCUAAUAGAAGAUGAGCUGAUAUGAACUGGUUACUGUACACAGCAAGUAGGGCAUGGACUGAAUUAGCAGCAAUGAUAAACGUUACAUAAGUAAGCAACAUUUGCAAACCAUGGAAUUAAUAUUGGCAAUGACUUAAAUCACGAGUAUCAUGCAGCUUGGCCUUGAUAAUUGAGAGUUGACAAAGCAAUUAGAGCAUUGGCAGGCUCAAAACUUCCACAAAAGUAUGUAGUGACCAGUUUACAGGAGCACCCAGAUUAGGAGCAAUGUUUUUUUUCUUAGGGUUUAGAAUCAACAACACCUACUUAGAAUGUCUUCCAACUUUCAAUUGAAUGGGGAUAAAGCAACACGGCUAUGAGAAGGUUGGUAUCACUUUUCAGGUCAUGUAGAUGUAAAGUGCAUUAGGAUACUACGUGAUGUAUAACCAAAGUUUCAAGUUACAAAGUAGCAGAACUAUUUGCAGAUAUCAAUACUAUAAUACUAAGUUAUUUAUAUAUCAUAAAUCAACAUACAGUCAUGAGAACAUUAAAGGACCACUAUAGGCACCCAGACCACUUCAGCUUAAUGAAGUGUUCUGGGUGCCAGGUCCAGCUAGGCUUAACCCAUUCUUUUACAAACAUAGCAGUUUCAGAGAAACUGCUAUGUUUAUGAAUGGGUUAAGCCUUCCCCCAAUUCCUCUAGUGGCUGUCUCACUGACAGCUGCUAGAGGCGCUUGCGUGCUUCUCACUGUGAAAAUCAUAGUGAGAGCACGCAAGCGUCCAUAGGAAAGCAGUGAUAAUGCUUUCCUAUAUGACCAGCUGAAUGCGUGCGCAGCUCUUGCCGCGCGUGCGCAUUCAGCCGCAUGGGAGAAGAGGAGGAUCGGAGGAGGAGAGCUCCCCGCCCAGCGCUGGAAAAAGGUAAGUUUUUACCCCUUUCCCCCUUCAAGAGCCGGGCGGGAGGGGGACCCUGAGGGUGGGGGCACCCUCAAGGCACUAUAGUGCCAGGAAAACGAGUAUGUUUUCCUGGCACUAUAGUGGUCCUUUAAGUACAUCAUCCUGCUCCCAUGUGAAUCUAAGUAGAGUAGUUCUGCUACUUAAACACCCUUGAUUAAUUGAUCAUCAGCAAGUGUUACCACAUCUAUAAAAUAGAUAUUCAGCAGUUUACUGGUCUGGAGCAUUCAGGUGUGUGUUAACACAAUGCCAAGGAGGAAAUACAUCAGCAAUAACCGUAGAGAAGCAAUUGUUGCUGCCCAUCAAACUGGGAAGGGUUAUAAGGCCAUUUCCAAACCAUGUAAAGUCUAUCAUUCUAUAGCAUGAAAGAUUAUUCAAAAGUGAAAAACAUUCAAGACAGUUGCCAAUCUUCUCAGGAGUGGCUGACCCAGCAAGUUCACUCCAAGGUCAGACUGUGCAAUUCUCAGAGAAAUUUCAAAGAGCCCAAGACUUACAUCUCAGACUCUACAGGCCUCAGUUACAAUGUUUAAUAUAAAAGUUCAUGACGGUACAUUUAGAAAAAGACAGAACAGGUAGGAAGUCAGAACAGGUAUGAAUUGUUUGGAAGGCUUGCCAGGAGAAAUACCUCUUUUCUCUAUAAGGAAUAUAUGGCAGCACUGCUUAGGUUUUCACAAACCACAAAACUUCUUGAACAAUGUCCAUUGGACAGACGAGACCAAAGUGGAGAUGUUUGGCCAUAAUCCACAGCUCCACAUUUGGCCAAAAUCAAAUACAGCAUAUUAGCACAAUCCCAAAUACCAACUACAAAGCAUCUGACUUUCCCCACUAUAAAUUUAUGCUGCGCUCAUACAGCUUGGCUCUUUCCUUUGCAAAAGUAAAUUACUUCAAUACCCUUAUAACCACACUCUCCCGCGAACACAAACGGCAAUUUCACACAUUUAACUCUCUUCUUUGCCCUAUUGUUCCUCCUCCACCUACUUACUUGACCGACACUGCCUUUGCAACUGACUUCACUGACAAGAUCUCUACAAUCAGGGAAGAGAUCUCUCAUCUUUCUUCUUCCCCUUACAAUACUUCCCCUAACCUCACUCCCUCUUCUGGUCUAUGUUCAUUCGCCCCCGCUACAGCGGAAGAGGUUUCUGCUCUGCUCCAGUCCUCCCGCCCCACCACCUGCUCCCUGUAGCGUUACUUACCUUAUCCAGGGGCCGGCCGCGGUCCUCUCUUCUGCAGGAGCCGCGCGCGGUCCUGCUGCUGCACGAGCCGUGCGCGGCUCAUCUGACGGCUUCAAUAGGAAGGCGGGCCGUGACCGCGAGAAGCGGUCACGUGUCCCGCCUGAAUCUAAGAGCGCGCCGCGAGUCUCGGGCGCGCUCUUAAAGAGACAGUGGGAGCCUAAAUUGUCAAAAGGCUCCCAUUGGCCCCUGUCAUGCCACACUCCCCAUACACUUACCUUUUGGGGGUGUGGAUAUGACAGGAGCCAAUCACAUUAGUUUAGAAGCUAUUUAAAAACCCACUUUUUUUUUUAAAAGUGUAUCAGUUAAACUGUUAAUAGCUCCUGACAGAUUCCUCUCUUGCACCUGUCAUUAGUCUAAUACUAUCUUUACCUUUUGUGUCACUUUACCCCACUCCCUCUAGCAUGUAAGCUCAUUGAGCAGGGCCCUCAACCCCUCUGUUCCUGUGUGUCCAACUUGUCUGGGUACAACUACAUGUUUGUUCACCCACCCACUGUAAAGCGCUGCAGAAUUUGUUGGCGCUAUAUAAAUAAUAUAAUAAUAAGAAUAAUAAUGAUAUGUAAAACCAUAGAAUUCAAAGAGGAUGUACUUUUUAUUUAUUUUUUUAUAAUUCUUUAUUUUAGCUGUGCAUAGAUUGUACAAACAUGCUUGCUGAGCCACAGCAGCUAGGACAAGCUUUGCAAUAGACAUAAAGAGGCAUUAGUAUGACUUUCAAUAUAUAUAUAUCACUGCACAUUUUUUAAAGCAAUAGGUAACAGGAGAAAACAUGCUGCUUAACUAGUAAUGGCUCCACCACAGAGGGCUCUGAGAUAAUGAAAUGGGGCCAGGGUUGCCAUCAGGUAUUUUGGGGCCCCUGACACAAUUCAAGGUCUGGGCCACGCGGGCCCGUCCCCGAGUCCGCCCACAAGGAUGCCCAUUGUGUGUGUAGUGGACGUAGUGUGUAUAGUGUAUAAAGAUUGCACAUGUGUAUAAUGAAUGUAGUGUUUGUGUGUUUUAAAUACAGUGUUUUUGGGUAGUGAAUGCAGUGUGUGUGUUUGUGUAGUGGAUGUUGUGUGUGUGUGUGUGCGUGUGUAUGGUGAAUGCAGUGUGUGUUUGUGUAGUGGAUGUAUAGUGUCUAUGGUGAAUGCAGUGUGUGUUUGUGUUUAUGGUGAAUGCAGUGCGUGUUUGUGUUGUGGUUUUAGUGUGUAUAGUGAAUGCAGUGUGUAUUUGUGUAGUGGAUGUAUAGUGUUUAUGGUGAAUGCAGUGUGCAGUGUUUGUGUUGUGCUUUUAGUGUGUGUAAUUGUGUAAAAUAGAAGCUCCAUUUGGGGGAAGGAGAGCAUUUUUGGUGGUAUUUACAUUUAUUUACACACUCUUUAUUUUAUUCCCCCCUCCCUGCUUCUUAACUGGCCAGGGAGGGGUGAGAUUGCAUCCCUGGUGGUCCAAUGAUAUGGUGAAGGGCACCGGUGCAGAGCACCGGUGGCUGCUUGGAUUAAGUGCGGUUCCUAUGAUCACUUUUGCAAAGUAGUGUAGGCCCAUACACUGCCCUCCCUGGGCGCUGCCAAUGCAGUCUGCACCUCUUGAGGCAGGUAGGCUUGGGGGAUGCUGCCUUGCGUGGGUGCCUGGUCCCUCGAGGUCUCUGUGUGGAUGAGCAGCUCGAUAAGGCUUGUGGGGAGGGCUAAAAGGCCAAAAUUCCUUGUGGAGGCAGUUGAGCUGUAGCUGUGCUCCGGACCUCUCCCUCCGAUGCUGCCAAGGACAUGUGGAUUUUAGGUGUCGCCACUGGCAUACAAACCGCGGUCAAAGGGGUCGCAGCUGCGACUGGGCCCGUCACUCCAGGGGGCCCGGCCACCCUGCGGACCCCUGUGACCAGGUACCCGCCAUUAUGUUUUGUAGCCCCGGCCCACGCGACAAACUGCCAGGGCCUCCGUUCCAGGGGUCCAUCGGGUGGCCCAUGCUGUCAGGGCCACCCAAUGGAUAUGGAUUGUAAGGGCAAGACCAGGCCCCCUGUGAUUACAUCACAGAGCUGGGAGGAAGUGACUGCACGUGCGGGAAGAAGACCAGGGAGUCAGAGUGGGAACUCUGACUCCCAACCACCUGAGCCACCACUGGACCCCAGUCACCCUACUGCACCUAAAAGGUAAGAAACAGGAGGGUGACUUAAAUAUUGUGUGUGUGUGUGUUUGUAUGUAUGUGUGUGUGUCUGUGUGUGUGUCUGCCUAUAUGUAUGUGUGCCUGUUUGUUUGUAUGUAUGUGUGUUUGUCUGUGUGUCUGUAUGUGUCUGUCUGUAUGUGUGCCUGUCUGCGUAUAUAUGUGUGUGUCUGUCUGUAUGUGUCUGCAUGUAUGUCUGUGUGUGCUUGUCUGUUUGUAUGUGCGUCUUGUGUGUGUAUGUGUGUGACUGCCUGUAUGUCUGUGUGUGUGUGCGCUUGUCUGUUUGUAUGUCUGUGUGUGUGUGAUUGUCUGUUUGUAUGUAUGUGCGUCUUGUGUGUGUAUGUGUAUGUAUGUAUGUAUGUAUGUAUGCCUGUCUGUAUGUGUCUGCCUGUGUGUAUGUGUGCCUGUCUGUUUGUAUGUAUGUGUGUCUGUCUGUGUGCCUGUAUGUGUGUGUGUGUGUCAGUCUGUAUGUGUGUGUCUGUCUGUAUGUAUAUAUAUGGGCCUGUCUGUUUUUAUGUAUGUAUGUGUGUGUGUGUGUGCCUAUGUAUGUAUGUAUGUGUGUCUGUCAGGGAGGGAAUGGGGGGUGGGGUGGGCGGGAAUAGGGGGGUCACUGGGUGUCGCUGUUAUUGCGGCGGCACCACAUGUCUUCUGAAGGAGACCGGGAUGACCCCCCGGUCCAUUGGGAGGGGGGGGGGAGGUGGAUGGGUGCAGCGGGCUGGAACUCCAUGUUUGUGCGGUUCGGCAUGGAUUAGCCUGGAAGAUAGGCUUCUCCCUUUCCCAACGCCCAAUAGGCCUUGCUUUCUGGCGAUUAAGUUUCUCUGUUAGGCCACUACAGACGACCACCGGGAACAACCGCAAGUUGUCCAUUCGAUGCAGGAUGCCCGGGUAGCUUAAAUUGCUCCAGAUUCAAUAGACAAACGUGCUGGCAACUGGACUAAUUAGUUUGAGACUGGAGAAAACAUGUCCAGUUGCCAUGGCAGUCCCUCCCUUCUCCCCCCAUGUACUUUCUUCUUAUCAGUCAGCUCAUUGUACUGGUUAUAAUGCUAAGGGAUACAUCCUUUUAUAAGAGAUAAGCAUAUAUCUAGUAUAUGAAUAACAUGUUAAUGAGAGAACUGGUAAUCAGUAGGCAGAGGUAAGUAAAAUCCAUACAUAAGAGUCUAUGGGCAUCAACCGGAUAUUGUAUAAGAUAAUGUUUAGUGUUAUUGUAGGGAUCAACGUGUUGUGAAGUGUCAGGGUUAAUGGUUAGUGUUAGUGUAGUGUGGUAAGGGCAGGGGUUAAUGUUUACUGAGUGUGUAUUGUAAGAGUUAAUAUUUAGUAGUAGUGUAGGAGUUGUUGUUUACUAAUAUUGUAGUGGGCUGGUUAAUGUUUAACCCCUUAAGGACAGCGGGCGGUCUAUGCCGUCCUUAGGGAACCAGCUCUAAACGCUGGAGGGUGGCAUAGAAUAUCCAAGCCGUCCUUUGUACUUAACCGGUCGCCGGCGAUCCCACGCCGGCGAUCGUGGUAUGGGGACUUACCUGGGAGCCCAGGGAGUCCCCCUCCGUCCUCUUCGGCCAUGUGAUCGCGAGGUAAUUGCGAGGACAUCGCGAUCACAUGGACGGCAUAGCCCCCUUGCUGCCUGUGAAAUGUAAAAUAAAAGUUAAAGAUACAGUUUAAAAUAAAAUAUAUUCUUAGAUCAUAUAUAUUUUUAUUAUAUAUAUAUGAUCCAAGUAUAUAUAUAUAUGUUUAUAUAUAUAUAUAUAUAUAUAUAUAUAUAUAUAUAUAUAUAUACACAUAUAGAUACAUACACAUACACUGUCUAAGUGUAUUUUUAUUUUUUUAUUCUUUAUUUUUGUAGUGCAUGUAAAUACAAAAAAUGCUGACAUUGCCACAACAGCACAUAUAAGUAACACAGUAAGAAACAUUCUCAGAGUAUAUUGCUGCUAGGUAACCUUAAUCUGCACCAUUUCUUUUUUGAGAGACAACAAUGCAUUUAAACAUGUCUAGGCAAUCUGUAGUCGCAAGGUUUCCAUGCAGAGACAGAGGAACAUCAAACAUUACAAUUUAGGUUAUCUAAAUUAAUCUCUUGGACAUGGGGAUGUUACUUAAUGAACAUGUCUAUCUUUCUGACUGGGUGGAGGCUAUUAAAGAGGUGUAAACAAAAUAAUAAUGCAACCCCAGUGGAGAAAUCAUAAACCAAACUAAGUAGAUGCUUUAAACAGGUAGGUGUACAUCCUUAGACUUUACCACCGCAUGGGCCCCCCGUGCCAUUAAGCUGACAGUCAGUGUCCCUGUGGCAUUAGACCUGCCUAUUUGGAGAGACAGAUCGGGACAUACGCUGGAGAGCUGCAUAGUGAGGUGUGAGACAGUGGUGGUGCGCUAGGAAGUUGUCAAAGUGGCAGUGUUCAACUUGCAGGUUCAGCCUAUGCCCACCGCAUACAGGUCAUAGCUCCGAGUCGUCUUGGUGAUCCCCUGGAUAGGCCUCCCCUCUGCAGGCAGCCGACCAUAGUGUUGUGGUCUUCUUGCUAUCCGGGCGGUACUGCAGGCAAAUCUGGGAUGUUGGAGCGGUGUCUCAUGCUGGGAGCCGGGUGCUCGGGUAGGUAUUAUAAACAGCGCCAUCUGGUAACCUUGUGCUGCAUGUGUCGACUUGAUUAAUCUCUGGCUUCUCCGCCGCGAUCUUGUUUGACCUGUGGCUGGAACCCCAAUGUUGAGGUGGAGCGUGUGCAGUAGGUAUCGGGCUGGGUGUUAGUGUAGAUUCCUCUGAGCAGACAUCCACAGUUCUCUUGUCAGCCCUUGUCGGCAAGUCGCUAGUGUUGAAGCGAUUCUUCCCUUUGGCACAUGUAGCUCAGUAUGUCAUCGCCGCCAUUUUGACUGCGGCCUCAGAGCCUUGGGUCGACACCGCUGCAGCCUGGGGUGCUGGUGUAUUCACGAUCACAGGGGCCAUGGGGUGGGGGGGGGAGGUGCUGGUAGGCAGAGUAGGCAGAAUAGCGGGACAGCGGCCGUCCACCCCACUCACUGCCAGGGUAAUCGUCAUCUUGGGCGACAAGGAGCUUCCCUCCAAGGGACUAGAACCCCUCGGUAAGCCUCACCUCGGUACCAGGGUGCCUUCUUGCAAUGGGCCACAGCUGCCAGUCAUCAGGUGGGUAUUUAAUCAGGAUUUAUAUGCUGAUGUUAUAAGAGAUUGCAGGAGCUACUCUUUUGUGCGACCAUUCAGCAUGGCGGUCCGGUCCCGCCCCCCCUAAGUGUAUUUUAAUAUUAAUAUAUAUAUAAUUAUAUAUUAAUAUGAAAAUACACGUACAAUGAUAUUGAUUAAAUAUAUAUAUAAUUUUCAUUAUAUAUAUAUUUUUAUAUAAUAUUUAAUAAAAAAAUAUGUAAAUACGUAAAAAAAUAAAAUUACAAAAAUAAUAAAAAAUUAAAAAAUAUAUAUGUGUAAAUUCGUUCUACCUGUAUUUUACAAUUAAUAUAUUUAUACUGAUAUCAAAAUACAUGUAGAACAAAAUAAUAUAUAUAUCUAUAUACAUAAGUUUAUACGUAUAUAUCACUAUAUAUUACAUAAUUAGGUCAUUUUAUUAAUUACAAUUAGCGGGACCUGCCUGACAACCCAGGCCAAAAGUCCAGGGAAUUUAAUUUGCUAGCACCACAUUUAACCCUGUAACUUUCCAAGACACCAUAAAACGUGUACAUGGGGGGGUACUGUUUUACUUGGAAGACUUCGCUGAGCACAAAUAUUAGUGUUUCAAAACAGUAAAAUGUAUUACAACAACGAUAUUGUCAGUGAAAGUGACUUUUUUAAAUUUUUCACACAAAUGGCACUUACACGGACGAUAUAAUUGUUGUGAUACGUUUUACUGUUUUGAAACACUAAUAUUUGUGUUCAGCGAAGUCUCCUGAGUAUAACAGUACCGCUCAUGUACAGGUUGUAUGGUGGUUUCAAAAGUUACAGAGUCAAAUAUAAGGCUUGCGUUUCAGUAUUUUCACAUUGAAAUUCGCCAGGUUGGUUAUGUUGCCUUUCAGACCGUACGGUAGCCCAGGAAUGAAAAUUCCAUGAUGGCAUACCAUUUGCAAUAGAAGACAACCCAAGGUAUUGCAAAUGGGGUAUGUUCAGUCUUUUUUUGUAGCCACUUAGUCACAAACACUGGCCAAAAUUGGUGUUCAAAUUAGUUUUUUUGCAUUUUUCACACACAAACAAAUAUUAACACUAACUUUGGCCAGUGUUUGUGACUAAGUGGCUACUAAAAAAGACUGAACAUCCUCAUUUGCAGUACCUUGGGUUGUCUACUUUUGCAAAUGGUAUGCCAUUAUGGGGGUAAUUCUUAUUCCUGGGCUACCAUACGGUCUCAAAGGCAACGUAACCAAUCUGGCGAAUUGUCUAAAAACUGAAAAAUGUAAAAAAAAAAUGAAAAAUUUAACAUGCUAUAUUUGACCCUGUAACUUCCCAAAACACCAUAAAACCUGUACAUAGGGGGUACUGUUUUACACAUGAGACAUCGCUGAAUACAAAUAUGUGUAUUUUAUUGCAGUAAAUGCAAACAGUAUUAUGACACUCACAGUUAAAAUAUCACGUAAAACAAAAAAAAAGUAAAUUCUUAUUUUUUCCCAUUUUUUAAAUAUUUUAUUCAUAUUAAAUUAUGUUUCAAACCUAAAUAUUUGAUGUUAAAUGAAAGCCCUAUUUACCCUGAAUAAAAUGAUAUAAAACAAGUGUGGGUGCACAUAAUAUGAAAGAGGCGAGUUACGCCUGAACAGACAUAUAGCGCAAAUUCAAGUUUUUGUUUACGUUUUGUUUUGAUCACAACGUUUACAUUUGGCUCAGUCCUUAAGGGGUUAAUGAUACAUACAUAUCCCAAUGUGGCGUAAAGUAUAGGGUGGCAGCUUUUUCAACUGCUGACAUUAAAAAUUAGUAACUCCCACUAAUCACAGGCAGUCCCUAUAUCCUUGUCCCGGCUGAGAUUAGGCGCCCCAUACUGCAAUAUCACUAAUAAAAAUAUCUCUUUAAUAUUUUUAUUAGUGUUAUUGCAGAAGGUCUUGAUGGUAAGGUAUGUCUUUUUGCUGAUGAUACUAAGAUAUGUAACAGGGUUGAUGUUCCAGGAGGGAUAAGCCAAAUGGCAAAUGAUUUAAGUAAACUAGAAAAAUGGUCAGAAUUGUGGCAACUGACAUUUAAUGUGGAUAAGUACAAGAUAAUGCAUCUUGGACGUAAAAACCCAAGGGCAGAGUACAGAAUAUUUUAUAGAGUCCUAACCUCAACAUAUGAGGAAAGGGAUUUAGGGGUGAUUAUUUCUGAUGACUUAAAGGUAGGCAGACAAUGUAAUAGAGCAGCAGGAAAUGCUGGCAGAAUGCUUGGUUGCAUAGGGAGAGGUAUUAGCAGUAGAAAGAGGGAAGUGCUCUUGCCAUUGUAUAGAACACUGGUGAGACCUCACUUGGAGUAUUGUACACAGUACUGGAGACCGUAUCUUCAGAAGGAUCUUGAUACCUUAGAGAGGGUUCAGAGAAGGGCUACUAAACUGGUUCAUGGAUUGCGGGAUAAAACUUACCAGGAAAGGUUAAAGGAUCUUAACAUGUAUAGCUUGGAGGAAAGACGAGACAGGGGGGAUAUGAUAGAAACAUUUAAAUACAUAAAGGGAAUCAACACAGUAAAGGAGGAGACUAUAUUUAAAAGAAGAAAAACUACCACAACAAGAGGACAUAGUCUUAAAUUAGAGGGACAAAGGUUUAAAAAUAAUAUCAGGAAGUAUUACUUUACUGAGAGGGUAGUGGAUGCAUGGAAUAGCCUUCCAGCUGAAGUGGUAGAGGUUAACACAGUAAAGGAGUUUAAGCAUGCGUGGGAUAGGCAUAAGGCUAUCCUAACUAUAAGAUAAGACUAGGGACUAAUGAAAGUAUUUAGAAAAUUGGGCAGACUAGAUGGGCCGAAUGGUUCUUAUCUGCCGUCACAUUCUAUGUUUCUAUGUUACUAUAUGGAGGAGAUCUGUGCACUAUUCCCAUCCAUCACCACCUGUGUAGUAUGGAGAUAGAAAACAUGAUAUACUGUUCAAAUAACAUAUAUAAAUAUAUUAUAAAGUGGCUUGGAAUAAAUAUUUAUAUUAUUUUUAAGAUAUAUGUAUACUGCAACUAGAGACUUUCAGUUAAGAAGCAGGAUACCAUUAAAUUCUUAGAAGAAACAAUUAGAAGAAAUGUUGGAUUAUUUUGACUCAUAUUUUGAUACAAUAGACCCCCCACAUUCAUUUUUUACCCUCUAUUAAUUUUAUUUAACCUUAUUUUCAUUCAAGACGUUCAACAACUUUAUUUUAACUCCAUCUGCUUCCACUAGCUCUACAUUCCUUAAAAUAACUCCUAUACACAAAGGACAUGCGACUAUAGGUCUGCCUCUUCUAAAAACAUCAUAACCGCAGCUUCACCCGGUUCCAAUAUCCCUUAGGGAUAAUCUAAUAAAGAAAGAUUAAAGAGCCAACCAGUGGGAGGCUUGAAGAAUUCAUUAGCAAGUCAUCUGAUUAUUGAAGAUGUUCCUGGUAGAAAAACAUUCCUUGUUGUUUGGAACCCCAAGAAAAAGAAAGACAAACAGUACGGGGUUAAUAAAAGAUGCAUCUCUUCUUGCAUAUAAACUUUGCUAAUUAAAACAAAUGGGCUGCUGUUCAUUUAUCUAAUUGGAACUGUCCAUUUCAAAAACGUUUCUCAUAGUUCACUCACAGAGGUUGCGUUCUGUGUAAACUUUCUCAUGGUGGCUUUAGAUAUGUAUGCUUACACACACAAACACUAAUGGAAGAUAAAUGCCAUUUGGUCCACCUUAUAAUCUCAUCUAUGCAAAGUAAUAUGCAUUAACCCCUUCUCAACUGAGAGAUGACUGUUAUGCAAGGAUAUAAAAUAAUCAUAUUGCUAUAAAAAAAAAAAACAACAUGUAUACGUGGGAUAUGCUUUUUUUUUUGUAUUGCACUGCUUUAUACAAUGUUUUAAUUUUUUUUAUAAAUCCUCACUAAUCUUUUACUCCACUACCACUCUCCUCAUUUUGCCACACCUCUUUUAAAUACAAAAAACUGUAUGUGGACAUAAUAUACUGUCAUAAUUCUGUCACUCAGGUAUCCUGGUAGUCUGCAUACCCCCAAAUACCAAAUACUCUAAACAGAAUAUUUAAUCCCUGUUAUGAAAUUGAGGUGCUCUUUUUAGUCAGGUAAUUGUAUUUGCGACAUGUAGGCAUUGCACCCACAUAUUUUGAUAUUGUUUACAUCUUCAGUCACUUUGGGGAAUAUUUAGUAGAUUUAUUAUAAAUAUUUAUCUGUAUAUUUGAUCACAUUUAUUUUAGUUUUCCAUCCUUUUGAUCCAUUUUGUCUGAAUCUGAAAGUGUAGCAAGACAAAUAAAUAAUGUAAAAAUACUUUUACAAAAUAGGAAGCACAUUUGAAGCUAGAAACAAAAUUUACUGAAUUCUUUGACCCCUUAAGGACUGAGCCAAAUGUACACGUUGUGAUCAAAACAAAACGUAAACAAAACCUGGCAUUUGCGCUAUACGUCUGUCCAACAGUAAUUUACCUCUUUCAUAUUAAAUGUACCCGCACUUACUAUAUAUCAUUUUAUUCAGGGGAAACAGGGCUUUAAUUUACCAUCAAAUAUAUAAGCUAUGAAACAUUACUUAAUAUGAAUAAAAUGUAAAAAAAUGGGAGAAAAUAAGAUUUUUAAAUUUUGUUUAGUUCUAUGUGACAUUUUAACUGUGACUGUCAUAAUACUGUUUGCUUUUACUGCAAUAAAAUACACAUAUUUGUAUUCAGCGAUGUCUCACGUGUAAAAAAAGUACCCCCUAUGUAGAGAUUUUAUGGUGUUUUAGGAUUUUAUUUUUUAACGUAUUUACAUAUUUAUUUUUUUAUAUUAUAUAUAAAUAUAUAUAUAAUAAUAUAAAUAUUUAAUCAAUAUCAUUCUAUGUGUAUUUUAAUAUUAACAUAUAUAUAUAAUUAAAUAUAUAUAUAUAUACAUUAAUAUUAAAAUAUACUUAGACAGUGUAUGUGUGUGUAUGUGUAAAUGUAUAUAUAUAUAUAUAUACUUAAUUUAUAUAUGAUCUAAGUAUAUAUUAGUUAAUUCUACACUGACCGGGUAAGUACAUAGGACGGCUUGGGAGUUCUAUGCCACCCGCCGGAGUUUAGGACCGGGUCUCCGCCGUCCUUAAGGGGUUAAAGGCACAGCUUUAGCUUAAUGAAGCAGAUUUGUUUUUGUUUAUACAGGGAGUGCAGAAUUAUUAGGCAAAUGAGUAUUUUGACCACAUCAUCCUCUUUAUGCAUGUUGUCUUACUCCAAGCUGUAUAGGCUCGAAAGCCUACUACCAAUUAAGCAUAUUAGGUGAUGUGCAUCUCUGUAAUGAGAAGGGGUGUGGUCUAAUGACAUCAACACCCUAUAUCAGGUGUGCAUAAUUAUUAGGCAACUUCCUUUCCUUUGGCAAAAUGGGUCAAAAGAAGGACUUGACAGGCUCAGAAAAGUCAAAAUAGUGAGAUAUCUUGCAGAGGGAUGCAGCACUCUUAAAAUUGCGAAGCUUCUGAAGCGUGAUCAUCGAACAAUCAAGCGUUUCAUUCAAAAUAGUCAACAGGGUCGCAAGAAGCGUGUGGAAAAACCAAGGCGCAAAAUAACUGCCCAUGAACUGAGAAAAGUCAAGCGUGCAGCUGCCACGAUGCCAGUUGCCACCAGUUUGGCCAUAUUUCAGAGCUGCAGCAUCACUGGAGUGCCCAAAAGCACAAGGUGUGCAAUACUCAGAGACAUGGCCAAGGUAAGAAAGGCUGAAAGACGACCACCACUGAACAAGACACACAAGCUGAAGCGUCAAGACUGGGCCAAGAAAUAUCUCAAGACUGAUUUUUCUAAGGUUUUAUGGACUGAUGAAAUGAGAGUGAGUCUUGAUGGGCCAGAUGGAUGGGCCCGUGGCUGGAUUGGUAAAGGGCAGAGAGCUCCAGUCCGACUCAGACGCCAGCAAGGUGGAGGUGGAGUACUGGUUUGGGCUGGUAUCAUCAAAGAUGAGCUUGUGGGGCCUUUUCUGGUUGAGGAUGGAGUCAAGCUCAACUCCCAGUCCUACUGCCAGUUCCUGGAAGACACCUUCUUCAAGCAGUGGUACAGGAAGAAGUCUGCAUCCUUCAAGAAAAACAUGAUUUUCAUGCAGGACAAUGCUCCAUCACACGCGUCCAAGUACUCCACAGCGUGGCUGGCAAGAAAGGGUAUAAAAGAAGGAAAUCUAAUGACAUGGCCUCCUUGUUCACCUGAUCUGAACCCCAUUGAGAACCUGUGGUCCAUCAUCAAAUGUGAGAUUUACAAGGAGGGAAAACAGUACACCUCUCUGAACAGUGUCUGGGAGGCUGUGGUUGCUGCUGCACGCAAUGUUGAUGGUGAACAGAUCAAAACACUGACAGAAUCCAUGGAUGGCAGGCUUUUGAGUGUCCUUACAAAGAAAGGUGGCUAUAUUGGUCACUGAUUUGUUUUUGUUUUGUUUUUGAAUGUCAGAAAUGUAUAUUUGUGAAUGUUGAGAUGUUAUAUUGGUUUCACUGGUAAUAAUAAAUAAUUGAAAUGGGUAUAUAUUUGUUUUUUGUUAAGUUGCCUAAUAAUUAUGCACAGUAAUAGUCACCUGCACACACAGAUAUCCCCCUAACAUAGCUAUAACUAAAAACAAACUAAAAACUACUUCCAAAAUAUUCAGCUUUGAUAUUAAUGAGUUUUUUGGGUUCAUUGAGAACAUGGUUGUUGUUCAAUAAUAAAAUUAAUCCUCAAAAAUACAACUUGCCUAAUAAUUCUGCACUCCCUGUAGAUCAGGGGUGCCCAAUAGGUAGAUCCCCAGCUGUUUUAAAACUACAGCUUCAACAAUGCUUUGACAUACUAAAGACAAGUAAAGCAUCAGGGGAGUUGUAGUUCUACAACAUCUGGGGAUCUACCUUUUGGGCACCCCUGGUAUAGCUCAUACCUCUGAAAUCUCACUGCUCAAUUAUCUGCCAUUUAGUAGUUAAAUAAUUUUUGUUCCUGCAGUCCUAGCCACACCUCCUAAGUGACACAGCCUGCAUGAAAAAAAAUAGUUUAAUUUUUAAUCAUAUGUUAAUUUACUUUAACGGUUUUUAUCUCCUGCUCUGUAAAUUGAGCUUUAAUCAUACACAGGAGGCUUCUACAAGAGAAGAAAUUCUAAAUUAGGCAGACUGUGCGAAACAGGUAGUGUAAACAUUAGAUCUCAUUUCAUAGGAAGUGUUUAGGAAGGCUGUGCAUAUUACAUACAGAGACUAAGGCAGCAUAAACAAAGUGAUUAAACUCCUAAAUGAUACAUAUUUAAACUGUGAGACUGCAGGGGCAUGACCUAUACCAGAAAUUAGUAAUUAAAAAGCUUAAAUGUAUUAUUUUUAUCUCACAGGGAUACUACAGUGUUAGUGAUACAGGUAUUUAUAAUGCUUUGGUGUUUCUUUAAUAACACAGUAUAUUGUUUACCAUUGUUAUCGAUGCAAUGUAAUAUUAGUAAAGUAGCUGAUUUUAAAGGAAUACUCCAAGCACCAUAACCACUACAGCCAGCUGCUGAUGUGUUGAUGAUGACAGGACUGCCCUGGCACUCUUCUAGUAUAAGCCUUAAUCUUCAGUAGUAAAAUUAUCAAGAUGCAGAUUCUUUAGCUCAGUGUUCAUUUAACUCACUGCCAGAUGUUUAGUAUAAAAUAAAUGUCAUUACAAAUAUGUAUUUAUACCAGUUUAGCUUUGUGAGCACUUACAUUUAAUCUGCUUUUACAGUGCUUGGCCAAGAUGAAAAUAUCCCCAUUCAAAUGUGUGCAUACAAAAAUGAGUAAUGUACAUUUCAAGAGGGUCCACAUUAAUUUAAAUGCAUUUAUUUUUUUUCUUACUUGCUUUAUAGUAAGCAGGUAAAAAUUCUGCUUAUGUUUCCUACAUAUUGGAAAGCCACAGCAGCCAGUGAAUAGUCUUAGAUUGUUAUCAUGCUAGUGUUUCUGGUCAGUAACAGCAGCGCUUAAAUUGAGGUAAAAAUUCAAUUGGAAUUAAACCAUGUAUAUAAGGUUUUUAGCAUACAUUUUUUUUUUAAAACAAUUAUAAUAAUUUGUAGGAGGGGAAAAUGAGGGUAUUUAGCUUCUCCACCGCAACAAUAGUACUACUAUUUUACUACUUUAGAAACACGAAACAACUUAAAAUUUGUUGAAUCAUUUUCGCUCUACAUCAUGAGGGUAUGCAGGAGUACAGAGGUUAUGAGAGAGGGAAAUUUUAAAGACAGUGGGAGUGUAAAAAAAAAAAACACACAAAAAAACACAGUAUUUUUUCAUGAUGGAGCACAUUACCACUUCCUCCCUGCUUCUGUUUCUCUCACAAGAAUUCCAGAUCAUUUUGGCUGUUGUACAAAAAUGUGUCUUUGGCUUAUGGAAGAUAUUUGAAGACAUAUAUAAUUGCAAAACUGCAUCUUUAAUGAACUCUAACAGCUCCCCCAGUGAAACAGUAACAAGGAUAGUGAUUAUCUUUGGCGAUUCCAAGUUGCCUCACAUGAAAUUUAAGGAGACCACAGUACUAUUAUGUUAAAUGUGUUCACAGUAAAUUGGACAAUUAUGCGAUAGGUUGAUAAAAUAAGUAGAAGAAUUAAUCAAUUAAAAAGAUUACGCAAAGUGAAGGAAAAGAAUUGUUGUGGUUAGCUGAAACCAUUUUUAUUUUUAGUGGGUUGAAGACUGUAAAUUAUUUUGUCACCACCAUUUAGGGUCAAGAGAAACUCUAGGUGCCAUAACCACUACAAAUCAUUGUUAUGCUAUGACAAUAAGUCUAUCAGUGCUCCCCUGGAUUUUCUGUUUUGAGUUUGUGGACAUGUCCGAGCACUCUCAAUCACACAUAGUCCACCUCUCUGCAUUCAAUCUGAAAUAACGUUUUUAUGCAUUAUUAAGUGAGAAUUCGUCCAAACUUCAGUGGGUCGAUGAGAAGAGAGGGUUGGCCUAUCUGUCCCCAGUUAUAUAUUUGUGGGUAUAUAGGAAUGUUAUUAAAGAGUAAAUAGUACAUAUCACUCACAAUGCCUCUCCUUUUUAUCAAAUUCACGAGUUCUCACUGCUGUGAAUGUUACUUCUUCAGAAAGCUAGAAGAGAGUAACAGCUUUGGAGUGCAUAUUCAGUGCUACUUAUUAUAGUAUAGACUAGAAAUCCGCAUUUUUGGAAACAAUAAUGGUGAGACUAUUAAACAAGUGCAGCCAAUGGUACUCAGAACCCUCUAUAGUGAUAAUCAGUGUCUGUCUCCAAUACAGCAAUUAGUAGUGGAAAACCAAAUAAAUUAAUGUGGCACGGUUUCAGUUGUGAUGUGUUUGUGGUGUAAUAUGUGUAGCUGGGGACUGAAGAGAGUGAGAGGGUGUGUAUAGAGAUUGUAGUAUAUGUAAUACUACUUUGUAAGCUCACAGGCUCUCCAUCUAAGCCCUUUGUAUAAAAGAGCUUCAAUGGCUAGUUAUCAGGUUACCAUCAGGGCUCUCUUUACCUCAUGUAUUUGUCUGUGUAUAUUGUACGUUCUCCACUAAUUGUACAGCGCUGUGAAAUCUGUUGGCGCUUUAUAAAUACCAGUAAUAAAUACAAUAAAAAUAGUGUGUGUGUAUGUGAUGUAGUGUGUGCAUGAAUUGUAGAGAAUGUGUGUUUAGGGAAUGUAGUGUGCGUGUUUGAGUGUAGAACAUCUAGUGUGUGCAUAGGGGAUCCAGAGUGUAUUUGUCAGAAAUGUAGUGUGAGUAGGUGGUGCGGUGUGUGUCUAUAGGGAAUCUCUUGUGUGUGUAUGUGUGUGUGUGUGUGUGUAGAGAAUCCAGAGUGUUUACAAGGGAUGUAGUGUUUCUAAGUGGUGUAGUGUGUAUAAGGCAUGUUGUGUGUGUGUGAGAAGUGCACUGUGUGUGUGAGGGGUGCAGUGUGUGUGUGAGGGGUGCAUGGAGUGUGUGUGGUGUACUGUGUUUGUGGGGUGCAUGGUGUGUGAGGGGUGCACUGUGUGUGUAAAGGGUGCACUGUGUGUCUAUACAGGAUCUUUUUUAUGUGUAGAGGAUCCAGCGUGUGCGUAGAAGAUCCAGAGUGUUUAAAAGGAAGUACCGUAUUUAUCGGCGUAUAACAUGCACCGGCGUAUAACAUGCACCUCAUUUUAAGAGGGAAAUUUCAGGGAAAAAAAACUUAAAGGACCACUAUAGUGCCAGGAAAACAUACUCGUUUUCCUGGCACUAUAGUGCCCUGAGGGUGCCCCCACCCUCAGGGACCCCCUCCCGCCGGGCUCUGGAGAGAGUAAGGGGUUAAACACUUACCUUUCUCCAGGGCCGGGCGGGGAGCUGUACUCCUCCUCUCCUCCUUGCUCGCGACGUCAUCGUCAGGAGCCGCGCGCGCAUUCAGCCGGUCGCAUAGGAAAGCAUUUACAAUGCUUUCCUAUGGACGCUUGCGUGCUCUCACUGUGAUUUUCACAGUGAGAAGCACGCAAGCGCCUCUAGCGGCUGUCAAUGAGAGGCUCUGGAGGCUGGAUUAACCCUCAGUAUAAACAUAGCAGUUUCUCUAAAACUGCUAUGUUUAUUUAAAAAAAGGGUUAAUCCUAGAGGGACCUGGCACCCAGACCACUUCAUAAAGCUGAAGUGGUCUGGGUGCCUAGAGUGGUCCUUUAAAUUUCAAAUAAAGAACUUCUUUUCCCCUUCCCCCUCUUACCCCCUUCUUACUCCCCCUCCCCCUCUUCUUACCCCCCUUUCUUACUCCCCCCUCCCCCUCUUCUUACUCCCCCUCCCCUUCUUACCCCCUUCUUACUCCCCCUCUUCUUACCCCCCUUUCUUACUCCCCCUCCCCUCUUCUUGCUUCCCCUCCCCUCUUACCUUUCUUGCUCCCCCCUCCCAUCUUCUUGCCCCCUCCCCUUUCUUGCUCCCCCUCCCCUCUUCUUACCCCCCUCCUCUUCUUACCUCCCUCCCCCUUUCUUACUCCCCCCUCCCCUCUCUUGUUCCCACUCCCCUCUCUUAUUCCCCGCUCCCCCCUCCUUUUUCUUGCCCUCCUCCUGUCACCCCCUUCCCUGUGGCGUGGCCGAACGCUCUGCUGUCCGCGGUGAUUGGGCGGCGGAUGACGGGGUGCACGCACCGGUGCCUUCCCUUAUCCUCCGGCCGACCUGGCUGAUACCAACUGCGGCAGCCUGAGGCUCUUGACGGAAGCGGCUCGAGUGAUAUCAAAAGAACGGUAGGUAUAACACACACACCCACACCCGCCCGAUAAAUACGGUAUUUGCUGUUCGCAAAUUGUCUGAUACUGAACGCAGGAGCAGUUCCAAGGGACUCCAGGCACUAUAACCAAUCCAAUGAGACAAAAUAGUUAUAGUGCCUACAGUGUACCUUUUUUGAUGGGAACUGAUACAGAAUGGGAGCAGAUGACCGAUAUCAAAGAGAACAAAAAGCCCAACAGAGUGAAGAAAAUGGUACAGAUAUGGAAGGUAGAAAAAGACAAUUAACUUAUAAUGUUUUACUAGCACCUUGUUUCAGUCAAUAUUACUUUGUUUGUCAUGGCUUGUUAAUGUAUAUCCCCCUGUUUAAUUGUAAAUCUCGGUGUAAUUUGUUGGCGCUAUAUAAAUGAUGAUGAUGAUAAUAAUAAUAAUGAUAAAAUAAUAGUAAUAAAAGUUUUGGAGAGUAAAUUGACGUAGAACUAAUAGGUACAGGGAGAGAAUAGGGUAAAUGAAAUGAAGUGAAUAUAUGGAAGUGGGACCAAUGUAUCAAUCACUUGCUUUUAUGCAAGCGAACAAUAAUUUAAGGCACUAUCGGCAUGCUGGCAGGAAUAAAGAGUGUGAGUCGCUAUGGUGCUCAGGGUAUUUAUUUAGAGUGCAGAAAACAAAAUAUCAGACUUUUCUAUCUUAUACUAUUUUGAUAUCGUUGUAUAUGGCCAUAUAAUACUUUAAUUGUUUCUUUAAAAUAACAAUCACCUAUUACAAAUGUUUACAUUUUUUCAUGAGAUGUUCCAUUUCAUUUUAUAUUUAUAUUAAAGAUUUAGUAGAUUACAUUAUAAUCCAGUUCAGAUAAGGCAAAACCCAGUUAAACAUUACAAAUGAGAAAAAUAAAUACUAUAUUUUUCAGGCUAUGGAAUGCAGAUUUUUACCCCAACAUUUGGGAUAAAAAACUGCUUGCAUCCUAUAUGAUGAGUGUCCUUUUAAUGGUAUAUGAAUAGCGAGAAUCGCUAAUUAUAUAUAUAUAUAUAUAUAUAUAUAUAUAUACAUCCAUGUUUGGUCCGCUGAGCCGGUGAGCACUGCAGGCUUCCGUAGCAGGAGGGGCCUUUUAUACUUUGUCUGCAGCUCCCACUCUCACAAGUGUUGGCAUUCCAGAGCAUUGCUGCAGGUUACCACGACAACUCUCUAAAACUGUACAAUGCCAAGGCCCGCAAGUACAGUGUUCCUCUGGCAGAGUUGCAGCCACCAUAGGACCACCAAUCUUUUGCUAUAAGUAAGAAGCAGGGUGGGGGAAUAAACUUUAAUAAGAACAAUACAUACAUACAUGAUAAUUAAAGUAAAACUGCUGCUCUAUUGUCAGCCCCAUGCAACACAGCCCUUAUCCUACUCCACAAAGUCUCAUACACACAACACACACACUGCAUCUCUUACAAACCACACUCACUAUACACACACUGCAUCCCUUCCACACAUACACAGUAUUCAUUAUACACACACAUUGCAUCCUCUAUACACACUACAUUCACUAUUUGUGCACACACGACAUUCCUUACAAACACUCUGCAUUCAAUAUAUACACACACACACACUCUGCAUUCACUAUACACACACUGCAUUCACCAUCCACAUACACACUACAUCCCCUACACACAUUCAUUAUACACACACACACACACAACAUCCCCUACACACACAAUGUAUGGUAUAUGGUAAUUAUGGCACAGCUUGUUUAAUUAAUGUUUCCUAAAUUUCUAGUUAAAAUAUAUGGUGUUAUAUUCCACUGCACAUUAUAUUCCGAAAAAUAUGGUAAAAACAUUGUUCAUUUGUCCUUUUUGCACCUGGCAGUCAGGAUAGCGAAAGCAUACAAAGGACAGAGUUUAUAACAAUGAUUGAUAGGGAGCUACGAUGAAGGCGCCCAGUUACAGGAUAAAAAUGUGUGAAUUAACUUUUGUGACUGGGAAAAUAUUUGAAGAGCUAGUAAGAGAUAAUAUUCAGGAAUUCAUUGGGAAGAACUUUGUUAUUAGCAAAACAAAAAAGAGCCUUCUAGGGAGAGGAUGUCAGGUUACUCAAAGGAAGGGGGGGGGAGGGGGUGGAGAUAACCCCCAGAAAUAUUUAAUAGUUAACAAAAAGAACACAAGAAAAAAACAUUUAGGAGAUAGACCCCCAUUGGUAGGGAGUACCCCUAAUAAAAUGUAACUUUUAAUGUAUAAAAAAACCUCAAUCUACAAGAGGAUUAAAUCGAGUAUCUAUAUUAAGAAAAAAUCCUACAAAACUGUGGUAUAGAGAAAUAUGUAUACAUGAAAUUAAACGAUGUAGAAAGCAAAAAUAAAUAAAUUAGAUAAAUAAGGAAAAUGGAAAAAAUCAGAGACUAUCCACUCUAAGACUGCGGAGGGUAUUCACUGAAAUUAGCAAUGUAUAAAAUAAAUAUAAAAAGGUGAAGUAACGAAAAAUAAAUAACAAAUGGAAAAUAGUUACUUUGUAAAUUGGCCAGAGGGGGAAGCUUAAGUGAGUUAAGGUUAUAAUGUUGCAAGUCGUCUAUUAGAGCAGAAUGAGAUACCAGAGUAUAGAUAAGCAAGUACAGCCCGUCUCUACACUGUUACGCCUUCGAGGGCACCCCUUAAUAGACGCUAAACCCCCCUCUUGUCACUUAGAGGAAAUGGAAGAUAUCCUUGAAAGAAUAUAUAAUGAAAAUAAAAUAAAAAAUUAUAAAUGAAGAAUGAUAAUAAAUAAAUAAUAAAGAUAAUUGACAGUGGACACCUUGUGGGCGAAAAAUCAAACGAGCUACAGAGAUUACUCGUAUAGAGAAUGAAUGUAUAAUAGUAUAAAAGUCUGGUAUGGGUGGUAUUAUCUCCGAAAAUAUUGGCAAAAUGUUGUUCCAUAUGUUUUAACCAACCCCAUACAUAAAAGUCCCGAUGUGCGUUUUGUCAAAAAUGUCUCUUCCCCUGGAGUUUUUGUUAACUAUUUGUUAUUAGCAAUAAUCAGCAUAAUUUUAUGAAACAUAGGUCAUGGCAAACUAACCUAAUUGCAUUCUACGAAGAAGUAAGUAGAAGUAUAGAUCAGGGUGUUGCAGUGGAUGUGAUCUACUUGGAUUUUUCCAAGACAUUUGAUACAGUUCCUCACAAUAGGUUAGUCUUCAAACUAAAAUAAAUUGGUCUAGAUGAAUAUUCUUGUUCUUGGGUAGAACAUUGGCUUAAGGAUAGAGUACAACGAGUUGUCAUUAAUGGUAAAUUUUCAGGUUGGACAAAAGUGGUAAGUGGUGUCCCUCAAGGUUCUGUUUUGGGACCGCUUCUAUUUACCAUAUUUAUAAAUGAUCUUGAAAUAGGCAUUGAAAAACAUGUUUCAGUGUUUGCAGAUGACACAAAACUUUGUAAAGUAAUAAAAUGUGAGCAGAAAUUGCUUUUCUGCAGAGGGAUUUGGAUAGAUUGAAAGAAUGGGCAUUAAAAUGGCAGAUGAAAUUUAACGUAGAGAAACGUUAAGAAGUUAUGCACUUUGGGUUCAAGAAUGCACAAGCAACUUACACCCUAAAUGGUAGUGAAUUAGGGAUAAACACACAUGAGAAGGAUUUGGGAAUUGUUAUAGACAACAAAUUAGGCAGCAAUAUGCAAUGUCAAUCUGCAGUUGCUAAGUUCAGGAAGGUUUUGUCAUGUAUAAAUAAAUGCAAAACCGCAAAAAAGUGUACCUAUAGGUAGGGAGAAGACUAGUGUGAGCCUGGACUUCUUGUGUAGAAGAUUCAAGAUAAAGGCUCGUUUAAAGGACCACAGGGUCCAAAAAAACAAACAAAAAACUAAUUUAUUAUGUAUCAAUAAUAAUAAAGGAAUAAGUGUUCAAAAUGAACAUAGCAACAGAAAUAAGUUUAAAAACAAAGUACCAGUGUAUGUAUAUUAGGAUCAAUUCUGAUUUCUAAACCAAUAUGUAUAAACACACCUAUAGCGCACGUCUGCGCAAAAGAGGGGGAGGACAUAUAGGUGCUACUAAUAAUGAAUAGUGUGGCGAAACCGGCCUCGCCACGUGUCCUUGGAGGGGGCUGCUUGCCCGCCUCUUGCCUUUGGACUAUGGACCAGACUUUAUGUGAAUGUGUUAUACCCCAGAUAGGAAUCCCAUGGAGCCCAUUCGUAUGAAACUGACUGUAAAGACUGGCUCCAUGGCGAUUAAACUGUAUUUGUGUGGUCCGAGCGCCAUUCACUUAAUAAUGUGCGCUCAGACCUGAGCUAUCUGGGGAUAUGUGAAAUGUCUGUGUGUUAUGUGUAAAAUGUGACUUUAUGUAUUUUAAAGUGUUUUGUGUCUUUUUGCAACCAUGUGCUUAAUGGAGUCUUGUGUCUAUCCUGGGAGAUAAUUGAAUUACUCUCCAGGAUAGAAGACUCUGAAACUGGUUUGGGCCAGAAAGCCAUGCUUCAUUUAGUCACAAAGGACUUUUACUAACUUUUGAACCCCUUGUCUGAUUUGUGCCAUUUUUGAACAUGUUGUUCCCCUGAAUGGAUUGAUUGUGAAUAUGUAAUUUUAUGUGAAUGUGAUGUAUGGUUUUGGAGUUAUGAAAGUUGGGUAGAAAGUAUGUUUUAACUGUAUGUAUAAUUGAGUUUCCUCCCAGGAUAAGGGGAGGGAAUAUGUGGGAUGUAACUGUGAUGUGAUUGGUUGUUUUGUAACGCCCUGUGGGCUGUACUAUGUUUGUGGAUUGGGAAUAAAAGAGACUGUAUGUGACAGUACAGGAGUUCCUGCUUAACCCUCAAAGUGAAGUGUUGUCUCAUUAUUGGGGGAGGAUUCAUUGUAUGCUGUUCCAGUUUGACUGCUAGGAGUGUAAACCUAUUCGUAUGGUUUCCUAUUCAACUGUCUACAGCAUUCAUAUGCUUGAGAGAAGGUAUACGCUUCUCUGGUUCGGUGAUUGUGGUGUCGGCUGCAGUGCUUGGAGUCCUCAGGAAGCGCUAGGAGCAUCUUUCAACGGAGGUACCCAGUCGGGGUGCCAGGCGAUCUGUUACAUUGGUGGCAAGCGGUGGGAUGGCGUCCUAGUGCGAGGUAAAGCAGCUCAGAGACACAGUCGUUUGGAUUUACAAAUUGAAGGCGACGCUAGUAUUUAUACAGCGUCCCUGUCUACAUAAAGAUUUGGGAAAAUGGGGUUCGUGGAUCCUUGGGCACCUCGCACACCUGAGGAAGAGGGUGAAUUGGACUGGAGAGAUAUUGCCCGGCAAGAACUAUGGUACAAUGCCCUGGAGGAAGUCCAGUAUCAACGGCAGCAGCGCCUUCCUGGUGUCGCAUACCGGUUGGAGGAAGAGAUGGCCUGGCGGAUGCCGCUUCUGGGAGACCAACCCGGAGGGCAGCAGGUCAGACAACUUGAGUACCUCGUGGAAAGGGAACUGAGCCUUGACGCCUCAUACCGGGCACUGUGGUGGUGCACUGUCCAGCCAGAGACAUGGAGGGCAGAGGGCAUCCAGCCAGAGGGGGAGAACUACACUAGCCCUGGCCUGUUGUGGAAGGCCUUAGCAGAAGACGUCGACUUUGGCAGUCCAGCAGAGUCACGGUACUGGGCUAUUUUUUAUUACCGGGGUGAGAUGGUACAGGGCCCGAGAUCUAUGGGACUGGGACAAGACCUCCACCGUUUGGCUGCCAUGGAACGACAGAUAGAGAUGGACUAUGUGGAACUACUCCACUCAUGUCAGCCACAGGGCAUAGACACAGAACAGGAAAACUGGCUGGGAGACCCAGACCUGCCAACCUACAGCUGGGAAAACGCAGCCGAGGUACCCCCUGCUUCACUACCAGCGGCAGAAGUAGGGGACCUCAUAGACUGGUCCUGGAAAGACCCACAGAUGGCAGGUGGAGAUGGGAUGGCGGUCUCUCUACCGGCCCUACAGGGAUGCUGGGCGGUCGGCCCAGAUCUCCAGCGGCAGUGUGUACCCCAGGGAGCAGAAGGUGCAGUCCUUCCUCCCCAGCGGCAGUGUGUACCCCAGGGAGCAGUAGGUGCAGUCCUUCCUCCCCAGCGGCAGUGUGUCCUGCAGGAAGCGGAGACAGUCGGUCUCGCUCCCCAGCAGCAGGGCAAUAUAUUAAAAGGGGAGACAGUUGGUCCCCCUUUCCAACAGCAGAGAGAGUGUCAGGGAGAGGAGCUUGUUAUCCCCUCUCCCCAGCGGCUGAAAGUAUGUAUGGGAGAGGAGCUUGUUACCCCCCCUCCCCAGCGGCAGCGUGUACCCCAGGGAGAUGAAGGUGCCGUCCUUCCUCCCCAGCGGCAGUGUGUACCCCAGGAAGCAGAGACCAUCUGUCUCGCACCCCAGCCGCAGGACAAAAUAUUGAAAGGGGAGACAGUUGGUCCCCCUCUCCACCAGCAAAGAGAGUGUCAGGGAGAGGAGCAGGUUACCCCCUCUCCCCAGCGGCAGUCUACAGUUCAGAGAGAGGAGCUUGUUACACCCUCUCUCCAGCGGCAGCCUAACCCACCAAGGGGAGAUGUUAAGCCCCACAACUAUGCAGAUGGGACCGUAGUCUCUGCACUUGCAGCACCAGGGGUAGGGACGGUCGGUCCUGUCCCCAGCCACAGAGCAGUGUAUCCAGAGGGGAGACAGUCGGUCUCCCCCUCCCCCAACCAGGCUCCAACCAGGCUACUUCAGUGGUGGCGCUGGCACCCGGGCAGAGUACCGCUGGUUUCUGCCCACUCAGCAACCCACCAAGGCAGUCUACCAGCCCCCCGCACAGCUGUGGUGAGGCACCUGGACAUGGACAAGUUGCUAUUUUAUCCAGGUGUAGUAACCAGUUAUUGUGGGUGGGCUGUAUUGCUGUUUGUGCUUCGUGGGUGGGUUGCUGGACUAACCAGGGCACUGACCGGCAGGAUGUCAGAUACCCUGUUAGUUUGGAUGGUAAAGGGGAGAAAUGUGGCGAAACCGCCCUCGCCACGUGUCCUUGGAGGGGGCUGCUUGCCCGCCUCUUGCCUUUGGACUAUGGACCAGACCUUAUGUGAAUGUGUUAUACCCCAGAUAGGAAUCCCAUGGAGCCCAUUCAUAUGAAACUGACUGUAAAGACUUUGGCUCCAUGGCGAUUAAACUGUAUUUGUGUGGUCUGAGCGCCAUUCACUUAAUAAUGUGCGCUCAGACCUGAGCUAUCUGGGGAUAUGUGAAAUGUCUGUGUGUUAUGUGUAAAAUGUGACUUUAUGUAUUUUAAAGUGUUUUGUGUCUUUUUUGCAACCAUGUGCUUAAUGGAGUCUUGUGUCUGUCCUGGGAGAUAAUUGAAUUACUUAUCUCCAGGAUAGAAGACUCUGAAACUGGUUUGGGCCAGAAAGCCAUGCUUCAUUUAGUCACAAGGACUUUUUACUAACUUUUGAACCCCUUGUCUGAUUUGUGCCAUUUUUGAAUAUGUUGUUCCCCUGAAUGGAUUGAUUGUGAAUAUGUAAUUUUACGUGAAUGUGAUGUAUGGUUUUGGAGUUAUGAAAGUUGGGUAGAAAGUAUGUUUUAACUGUAUGUAUAAUUGAGUUUCCUCUCAGGAUAAGGGGAGGGAAUAUGUGGGAUGUAACUGUGAUGUGAUUGGUUGUUUUGUAACGCCCUGUGGGCCGUACUAUGUUUGUGGAUUGGGAAUAAAAGAGACUGUAUGUGACAGUACAGGGAGUUCCUGUUUAACCCUCAAAGUGAAGUGUCGUCUCAUUAUUGGGGGAAGGAUUUAUUGCAUGCUGUUCCAGUUUGACUGCUAGGAGAGUAAACCUAUUCGUAUGGUUCCUAUUCAACUGUCUACAGCAUUCAUAUGCUUGAGAGAAGGUAUACGCUUCUCUGGUUCGGUGAUUGUGGUGUCGGCUGCAGUGCUUGGAGUCCUCAGGAAGCGCUAGGAGCAUCUUUCAACGGAGGUACCCAGUCGGGGUGCCAGGCGAUCCGUUACAAAUAGUAAGGUAGGACACAAUGUUGUGUGCUGCUGAGUAGGUUAUGCAGCCUGUGUACCCUAUCAAAAUAGCAAAAAAUUGGAAAUGCUUAUAUGUAGUGUAAUAUAUAUAAAUAUCAGCAGAUCGAGAUUCUAAACGGCGGUUUGGGAGUGUAUAUCUCUAAAUACUGAGGAUACGCCCCUGAACAUGUAUUGUUAAAUCAGAGGCUUCCAACAGCACUGAAUAUUGGAUAUUCAACUAUGAUGCCUGGUUAUAUACAAUGUAUAAUCAUCAAUGCCUGAGUUAGAGCUGUACUGAAAGGUAACAAAAUAGUAGUUCAAAAUGAGGAAUGAAGAUGAGAUGGUAUAGUAAGAGAUGACUAUACUAACAGCACGCUGAAAGACUGCACUCGGUGAUUGUAAGUAUAAGGUAUACACUAGGCUGUCUUGCGAUAAACAGAUAGACAGGAGAGGCUAACCCUCCGGCUAACACUCCACCAACGUGCCUUCGAGGGUACCUAUGUCUCACCCCGCUUAGAUAGAAAUAACGAGAAAAUCAGAGAAUAAAUCGCCUAUUAUGAUAAUAAAAAACGGCAUGUAUAAAGCCGUGCAGCCCCUGACGCGCGCGUUUCACCCACUUAGCUCAUCUGACGGCCCCACCCUGAUCCAGCUCCUUGGUGACAACAUCAGAAUUGCAGAUUUUUAGCCAAUCCAAUGCUUUCCCUAUGGAAAAGUUUUGGAUUGGCUGAAAUCAGCAAGGAGGCGGGCGGGGCCAAAUGCCAUUUUAGCCAAUCAGAACCUCCUGUGCAGCACUGGCUCAGGAAGCACCUCCAGUGGCCAUCUAAGGAGUGGCCACUUGGAGGUGUCCCUAGGGGCAAUGUAAACACAUGGAAAUGCCUGAAGGCAAUUAAUAUACUCACCAGAACAACUACAUUAAAGGACCACUAUAGUGCCAGGAAAACACCCUCAGGUUCCCACUCCUGCCGGGCUGAAGGGGGAGGAAGGGGGUUAAACACUCACCUUUCUCCAGCGCCAUUCAGCCAGUCCAUAGGAAAGCAUUUUCAAUGCUUUUCUAUGGACGCUGGCGUCUUCCCACUGUGAAAAUCACAGUGAGAAGCGCGGAAGAACCUAUAGCGGCUGUCAAUGAGACAGCCACUAGAGGCUGGAUUAACCUAUUUGUAAACAUAGCAGUUUCUCUGAAACUGUUAUGUUUACAGCAGUCAGGGUUAAUCCUAGAUGAUCCUGGCACCCAGACCACUUAAUUGAGCUGAAGUGGUCUGGGUGCCUAUAGUGGUCCUUUAAGCUGUAGUUGUUCUGGUGACUAUAGUGUCCCUUUAAGUAUUUAUUUAUGACACCAGACCCCUGGCCGUCAACUUCAAAAACCCCUGAAAACCUCAUGUCUUAACUCCCCAUUAUUACCUUUAUUACCUUUAAAAUGUAAGCUCACAAGUCAUGUUGUAUAAAACUGUAAGCGCUAGACUGUAAGCUCAUGGGAUCUGCUCCUUUUGUGUACAUUUUUUAUAUUAACCGUCUAAAUUGUGAAUAAUUACUAAUUUUUAAUUUUCAUAAAUAAAUAAAAUACAUCAGUUUAUAUUAAAAAAUCAUGAAAUACAGACAAUAGAAACAGACAAUACAUGGAAUAGACAAUACAGGCAGCCAACAUUUUAAGAAUUUCAAUAUUGUACCAAGAAAUAAAGAUAUUGAAUGGUUUAAUUCUACAGUCUUUUUAACAAUGAACAAGCAUUUGUACUACAUUUAGCACAUUUUUUUAAAACUACUAUUGUUCAUGCUAAUCAUUAUUGGAGGGGAUAUUGUACUGUAAGAUAUAAAUCAUAUCAGAAUAUAUCUUUCUAAGAUGAAUGUAAUGAAGGAACAUGGUUUGCAUAUUUAAAAGGAUACUAUAGUCAUCCAAAAGUUAGGUUUAAAGGGACACUACAGGCACCUGGAACACUUCAUCUAAUUCAAGUGGUCUGGGUGCAGUGCCCCUGUCCCUUUAACUCUGCAAUAUAAAACAUUGCUGUUUCAGAGACCAGUUUCAUUGGCCAGGAUUAUCACAGAGGAAUAUUUUGAAUCAUCUAAGCUAUAUAGGCUUAUCAUAAUUAGAAUUUGUCAUGAUAUCCUUAGUACACAUUACGUAUUAAAUGACAGCACAUGAAAAAUGCCACACUGCAGUAUCUAGAUUUCAUAUUGAGAAUGACUUCUCAUUGAUAGUGAGUAGAUUUCACUCAUGCAGCAUUUGAAUUUGAUGUAUUGCAGGGCAACACUUUGCACAUCGAUUUGUUACCCCAAUGAUAUACAGUAACAUGCUGGGCUGUAAUAACAAUUAUAUAUAUAUAUAUAUAUAUAUAUAUAUACAUAGUAAAUAAACUGCUCAUCCACAGCAUUAAAAUCUCUGACAGGUAUAGUGAAUAACAUUGAUUAUAUCUUUACAACUGCACAUAUCAAAGGGUGGGUUUAUAUUAGGCAGCAAGUGAACAGUCAGUUCUUGAAUUUCAUGUGUUGGGAGCAGGAAAAAUGGCCGUGCUAAAAUAUCUGAGUAACUUUAACCCCUUAAGGACACAUGACGGAAAUAUUCCGUCAUGAUUCCCUUUUAUUCCAGAAGUUGUGUCCUUAAGGGGUUAACAAGGGUCAGAUAAGAAGGGCUAGACGACUAGGUUAGAGGAUCUUCAAAAUGGAAAGUCUUGUGGGGUGUUCGUGGUAUACAGAGGUCAGUACCUACCAAAAGUGGUGCAAGAAAGGGUAACCAAUGAAUUGGCAUGAAAGUCAUGGGCGCCCAAGGUUCAUUGAUGCACGUGGGUAGUGAAGGCUAGCCCGUCUGGUCCAAUCACACAGAAAAGCUACUAUAGCUCAAAUGGCUGAAACACUUAAUGCUGGCCAUUAUAGAAAGGUGUCAGAACACACAGUGCAUCACAGUUUGCUGCAUAUGGGGCCCAAUGAUGAACCCAGUCCACUGCCGAAAGCUCCUUCAAUGGGGAUGUGAGCGUUAGAACUGGACCAUGGAGCAAUGGAAGAAGGUUUCCGAGCCUGAUGAAUCACAUGCCAAAUUAUGUCUUCUAUGUCUUUUCAGGAUUUCUCUGUAGCCGACUGUAACUAACUGGUUUUGAUGAGACAGUGGGAAGAGCUGGAGCAGACUAUGGCAAACAGUUAUGUAACCGUUUCUGAUGCAUACUGUGUUGCAGAGCCAUUACCUUACUAUGGUAAGUCAAACUACCACCAGAUACAGUGAAAAUGUUUAAAUAAAUAUAGGAAACACAAAGAACAGUGUGAUUUUAAUUGCACUUUUAUUGCAAUUUGUAAAUAAAAUAGACUGUUGAUAGCGUUAAGUCAACAUUUAGUAUACACUACAAAAUACACCACAUAGUGUCC